rnacentral:lncRNA from 1 species
AAGGAGAAUCCUUCCCUGCUUGGACCCUCCGGCCUCCCCGGUUGGGGCGGCCUUCCUUUUGUUGUCUCCCCCAGUCGGUGGGGGAGCAUCUUCUUCUUCUUCUUCUUCUUCUUCUUCUUCUUCUUCUUCUUCUUCUUCCUCGUCUUCGAGGGAAGAGAGCGCCGCAGAGUCAUCAGAUGGUGAGUCCGACGACGCGUGGCACCGAGAACUCUUUCGGGUUCCCUUGGCCUUCUUGGUCUUCUCCGACACCUUAUAAGGGGCUGGAGUCAGUAUCUUCGCUAGAAGAGCGUCUGCAAGGCCUUCGGGCAAAGGAGCCGGACAGUCGAUCUGUCCGGCCAUCUUCCGCCAGUCCUGUCAAAGGUACGGGAGUUUAGAUCCCGCAUGGAGUCAAUCUAUAUAAAAAAUAAUUAUCCUGUGAAAGGUAAAACAGCUUACCGCACUGGCUUGGCGCUUCACGCUGAAUCCGCGAUCCUCAGUAAUAGGGGGGGACCUCGGCACUUUUGAACAGCACCCUCCAGGCGUCUUCAUGAGUUGUGUCGAAGAGCCUGUUCAGAGUUCGGUGCUGCACCGGAUUGAACUCCCACAAGUUGAACUCCCGUUGUUGGCACGGGAGUAUCCGUCGGAUGAGCAUAACUUGGACUAUGUUGACAAGCUUCAGCUUCUUGUCCACCAUGUUUUGAAUACAUGUUUGGAGUCCGGUCAGCUCUUUCAAACUACCCCAGGACAGGCCCUUCUCUUUCCAGGAGGUGAGCCGCGUGGGGAAGCCAGAUCGGAACUCGGGGGCCGCUGCGCAUGCAGGGUCGCGCGGCUCGGUGAUAUAGAACCACCCCGAUUGCCACCCCUUUAUGGUUUCCACAAAGGAGCCCUCGAGCCAUGUUAUGUUGGGCAUCUUGCCCACCAUGGCGCCUCCGCACUCCGCCUGGCGGCCACCCACCACCUUCGGCUUGACAUUGAAGGUCUUCAGCCAUAAGCCAAAGUUGGGCUUGAUGCGAAGGAAGGCCUCGCACACGAUGAUAAACGCCGAGAUGUUGAGGAUGAAGUUCGGGAUCAGAUCGUGGAAAUCCAGGACGUAAUAAAACAUGAGCCCUCGGACAAAGGGAUGGAGACGGUGUUGGAAAUGCCCUAGAGGCAAUAAUAAAAUGAUUAUUAUAUUUCCUUGUUCAUGAUAAUUGUCUAUUAUUCAUGCUAUAAUAGUAUUAUCCGGAAAUCGUAAUACAUGUGUGAAUACAUAGACCACAAUGUGUCCCUAGUGAGCCUCUAGUUGACUAGCUCGUUGAUCAACAGAUAGUCAUGGUUUCCUAGCUAUGGACAUGGGGAUGUCAUUGAUAACAUGAUCACAUCAUUAGGAGAAUGAUGUGAUGGACAAGACCCAAACCUAAGCAUAGCACAAAGAUCGUGUAGUUCGUUUGCUGUAGCUUUUCUGAAUGUCAAGUAUCAUUUCCUUAGACCAUGAGAUUGUGCAACUCCUGGAUACCGUAGGAGUGCCUUGGGUGUGCCAAACGUCACAACGUAACUGGGUGACUAUAAAGGUACAUUACAAGUGUCCCCGAAAGUGUCUGUUGGGUUGGCACGAAUCGAGACUGGGAUUUGUCACUCCGUACGAGAGGUAUCUCUGGGCCCACUCGGUAAUGCAUCAUCAUAAUGAGCUCAAUGUGAUCAAGUGGUUGAUCACGGGAUCAUGCAUUACGGUACGAGUAAAGUGACUUGCCGGUAACGAGACUGAACAAGGUAUUGGGAUACCGACGAUCGAGUCUCGGCCAAGUAACGUACCAAUUGACAAAGGGAAUUGUAUACAGAUUGAUUAAGUCCUCAACAUCAUGGUUCAUCCGAUGAGAUCAUCGAGGAGCAUGUGGGAGCCAACAUGGGUAUCCAGAUCCCGCUAUUGGUUAUUGACCGGAGAGUCGUCUCGGUCAUGUUUGCUUGUCUCCCGAACCCAUAGGGUCUACACACUUAAGGUUCAGUGAUGCUAGGGUUGUAGAGAUAUUAGUAUGCAGCAACCCGAAAGUUGUUCGGAGUCCCGGAUGAGAUCCCGGACGUCACUAGGAGUUCCGGAAUGGUCCGGAGGUGAAGAAUUAUAUAUAGGAAGUGCAGUUUCGGCCAUCGGGAAGGAUUCAGAGUCACCGGUAUUGUACCGGGACCACCCGAUGGGUCCCGGGGGUCCACCGGGUGGGGCCACCCAUCCCGGAGGGCCCCGUGGGCUGAAGUGGGGAGGGAACCAGCCCCUAAUGGGCUGGUGCGCCCCCCUUGGGCCCCCCCUGCGCCUAGGGUUGGAAACCCUAGGGUGGGGGGCGCCUCCACUUGCCUUGGGGGGCAAGCCUCCCCCUUGGCCGCCCCCCCAGGAGAUCCCAUCUCCUUGGGCCGGCGCCCCCCAGGGGGCCUAUAUAAAGGGGGGGGAGGGAGGGCAGCCACACAAAAGCCUUGGCGCCUCCCUCUCCCCUGAUACACCUCUCCCUCUCGCAGAAGCUCGGCGAAGCCCUGCUGCAAUCAGUGCUACAUCCACCACCACGCCGUCGUGCUGCUGGAUGUUCAUCAACCUCUCCUUCCCCCUUGCUGGAUCAAGAAGGAGGAGAUGUCAUCCGCUCCGUACGUGUAUUGAACGCGGAGGUGCCGUCCGUUCGGCACUUGGUCAUCGGUGAUUUGGAUCACGGCGAGUACGACUCCAUCAUCCCCGUUCUCUUGAACGCUUCCGCUCGCGAUCUACAAGGGUAUGUAGAUGCACUCUCCUCUCGUUGCUAGUUGACUCCAUAGAUUGAUCUUGGUGAAACGUAGGAAUUUUUUUUGUUUUCUGCAACGUUCCCCAACAGUGGCAUCAUGAGCUAGGUCUAUGCAUAGUUACUAUGCACGAGUAGAACACAAAGUAGUUGUGGGCGUCGAUAUUGUCAAUUUGCUUGCCGUUACUAGUCUUAUCUUGAUUCGGCGGCAUCGUGGGAUGAAGCGGCCUGGACCAACCUUACACGUACGCUUACAUGAGACCGGUUCCACCGACUGACAUGCACUAGUUGCAUAAGGUGUCUGGCGGGUGUCUGUCUCUCCCACUUUAGUCGGAUCGGAUUCGAUGAACAGGGUCCUUAUGAAGGGUAAAUAGAAAUUGGCAAUUCACGUUGUGGUUUUGGCGUAGGUAAGAAACGUUCUUGCUAGAAACCUAUAGCAGCCACGUAAAAACUUGCAACAACAAUUAGAGGACGUCUAACUUGUUUUUGCAGCAAGUGUUUUGUGAUGUGAUAUGGCCAAAGGUUGUGAUGAAUGAUGAAUGAUAUAUGUGAUGUAUGAGAUUGAUCAUGUUCUUGUAAUAGGAAUCACGACUUGCAUGUCAAUGAGUAUGACAACCGGCAGGAGCCAUAGGAGUUGUCUUUAUUUUUUGUAUGACCUGCGUGUCAUUGAGAAACGCCAUGUAAAUUACUUUACUUUAUUGCUAAACGUGUUAGCCAUAGUAGUAGAAGUAAUAGUUGGCGAGCAACUUCAUGGAGACACGAUGAUGGAGAUCAUGAUGAUGGAGAUCAUGGUGUCAUGCCGGUGACAAGAUGAUCAUGGAGCCCCAGGAUGGAGAUCAAAGGAGCUAUAUGAUAUUGGCCAUAUCAUGUCACUAUUAUUUGAUUGCAUGUGAUGUUUAUCAUGUUUUUGCAUCUUGUUUACUUAGAACGAUGGUAGUAAAUAAGAUGACCCCUCAUAAUAAUUUCAAGAAAGUGUUCCCCCUAACUGUGCGCCGUUGCGACAAUUCGUUGUUUCGAAGCACCACGUGAUGAUCGGGUGUGAUAGAUUCCAACGUUCACAUACAACGGGUGUAAGACAAAUUUACACACGCAAUACACUUAGGUUGACUUGACGAGCCUAGCAUGUACAGACAUGGCCUCGGAACACAGAAGACCGAAAGGUUGAGCAUGAGUCGUAUAGAAGAUACGAUCAACAUGAAGAUGUUCACCGAUGUUGACUAGUCCGUCUCACGUGAUGAUCGGACACGACCUAGUCAACUCGGAUCAUGUUAUACUUAGAUGACUGGAGGGAUGUCUAUCUAAGUGGGAGUUCAUUGAAUAAUUUGAUUAGAUGAACUUAAUUAUCAUGAACUUAGUCUAAAAUCUUUACAAUAUGUCUUGUAGAUCAAAUGGCCAACGUUGUCCUCAACUUCCAUGCGUUCCUAGAGAAAACCAAGCUGAAAGACGAUGGAAAUAACUAUACAGACUGGGUCCGGAACCUGAGGAUCAUCCUCAUAGCUGCCAAGAAAGAUUAUGUCCUAGAAGCACCGCUAGGUGACGCACCCGUCCCACAGAACCAAGACGUUAUGAACGCUUGGCAGACACGUGCUGAUGAUUACUCCCUCGUUUAGUGCGGCAUGCUUUACAGCUUAGAACCGGGGCUCCAAAAGCGUUUUGAGCGACACGGAGCAUAUGAGAUGUUCGAAGAGCUGAAAAUGGUUUUCCAAGCUCAUGCCCGGGUCGAGAGAUAUGAAGUCUCCGACAAGUUCUUCAGCUGUAAGAUGGAGGAAAAUAGUUCUGUCAGUGAGCACAUACUCAAAAUGUCUGGGUUGCAUAACCGCUUGACUCAGCUGGGAGUUAAUCUCCCGGAUGACGCGGUCAUUGACAGAAUCCUUCAGUCGCUUCCACCAAGCUACAAGAGCUUUGUGAUGAAAUUCAAUAUGCAGGGGAUGGAAAAGACCAUUCCUGAAGUAUUUGCAAUGCUGAAAUCAGCAGAGGUAGAAGUCAAAAAGGAACAUCAAGUGUUGAUGGUGAAUAAAAUCACUAAGUUCAAGAAAGGCAAGGGUAAGAAGAACCUCAAGAAGGACGGCAAGGGAGUUGCCGCACCCGGUAAGCAAGCUGUCGGGAAGAAGCCAAAGAAUGGACCCAAGCCCGAGACUGAGUGCUUUUAUUGCAAGGGAAGUGGUCACUGGAAGCAGAACUGCCCCAAAUACUUAGCGGAUAAGAAGGCCGACAUCAGAAAAGGUAUAUGUGAUAUACAUGUAAUUGAUGUGUACCUUACCAGUACUCGUAGUAGCUGCUGGGUAUUUGAUACCGGUGCGGUUGCUCACAUUUGUAACUCAAAGCAGGAGCUGCGGAAUAAGCGGAGACUGGCGAAGGACGAGGUGACGAUGCGCGUCGGGAAUGGUUCCAAGGUCGAUGUGAUCGCCGUCGGCACGCUACCUCUACAUUUACCUACGAGAUUAGUUUUAAACCUCAAUAAUUGUUAUUUAGUGCCAGCUUUGAGCAUGAACAUUGUAUCAGGAUCUCGUUUAAUACGAGAUGGCUACUCAUUUAAAUCCGAGAAUAAUGGUUGUUCUAUUUAUAUGAGAGAUAUGUUUUAUGGUCAUGCUCCGAUGGUGAAUGGUUUAUUCUUAAUGAAUCUCGAGCGUAAUGCUACACAUAUUCAUAGUGUGAAUACCAAAAGAUGUAAGGUUGAUAAUGAUAGUCCCACAUACUUGUGGCACUGUCACCUUGGUCACAUAGGUGUCAAACGCAUGAAGAAGCUCCAUGCAGAUGGACUUUUAGAGUCUCUUUAUUACAAAUCAUUUGACACGUGCGAACCAUGCCUCAUGGGUAAAAUGACCAAGACUCCAUUCUCAGGAACAAUGGAGCGAGCAACCAACUUAUUGGAAAUCAUACAUACUGAUGUGUGCGGUCCAAUGACUGUUGAGGCUCGCGGUGGCUAUCAUUAUGUUCUCACCCUCACUGAUGACUUGAGUAGAUAUGGGUAUGUCUACUUAAUGAAACACAAGUCUGAGACCUUUGAAAAGUUCAAGGAAUUUUAGAGUGAGGUUGAGAAUCAACGUGACAGGAAAAUCAAGUUCUUGCGAUCAGAUCGUGGGGGAGAAUACUUGAGUCACAAAUUUGGCACACACUUAAGAAAAUGUGGAAUAGUUUCACAACUCACGCCGCCUGGAACACCUCAGCGUAAUGGUGUGUCCGAACGUCGUAAUCGCACUCUAUUAGAUAUGGUGCGAUCUAUGAUGUCUCUUACCGAUUUACCGCUAUCAUUUUGGGGCUAUGCUUUAGAGACUGCCACAUUCACUUUAAAUAGGGCUCCGUCAAAAUCCAUUGAGAUGACACCGUAUGAAUUAUGGUUUGGGAAGAAACCUAAGCUGUCGUUUCUAAAAGUUUGGGGAUGCGAUGCUUAUGUCAAGAAACUUCAACCUGAAAAGCUCGAACCCAAGUCGGAAAAAUGCGUCUUCAUAGGAUACCCUAAAGAAACUGUUGGGUAUACCUUCUACCUCAGAUCCGAAGGCAAGAUCUUUGUUGCCAAGAAUGGGUCCUUUCUAGAGAAAGAGUUUCUCUCGAAAGAAAUAAGUGGGAGGAAGGUAGAACUUGAUGAAGUAUUACCUCUUGAACCGGUAAGUGGCGCAGCUCAAGAAAAUGUUCCUGAGGUGCCUGCACCGACUAGAGAGGAAGUUGAUGAUGAUGAUCAUGAAACUUCAGAUCAAGUUGCUACUGAACUUCGUAGGUCCACAAGGACACGUUCCGCACCAGAGUGGUACGACAACCCUGUCUUGGAAAUCAUGUUGUUAGACAACGGUGAACCUUCGAACUAUGAAGAAGUGAUGGCGGGCCCGGAUUCCGACCAAUUGCUGGAAGCCAUGAAAUCCGAGAUAGGAUCCAUGUAUGAAAAUGAAGUAUGGACUUUGACUGACUUGCCAGUUGAUCGGCGAGCCAUAGAAAAUAAAUGGAUCUUUAAGAAGAAGACAGACGCGGAUGGUAAUGUGACCAUCUAUAAAGCUCGGCUUGUCGCUAAGGGUUAUUGACAAGUUCAAGGGGUUGACUACGAUGAGACUUUCUCACCCGUAGCGAAGUUGAAGUCCGUCCGAAUGAUGUUAGCAAUUGCCGCAUUCUAUGAUUAUGAGAUAUGGCAAAUGGACGUCAAAACAGCAUUCCUUAAUGGUUUCCUUAAGGAAGAAUUGUAUAUGAUGCAGCCGGAAGGUUUUGUCGAUCCUAAGAAUGCUGACAAGGUGUGCAAGCUCCAACGCUCAAUUUAUGGGAUGGUGCAAGCAUCUCGGAGUUGGAACAUUCACUUUGAUGAGAUGAUCAAAGCGUUUGGAUUUAUGCAGACUUAUGGAGAAGCCUGCAUUUACAAGAAAGUGAGUGGGAGCUCUGUAGCAUUUCUCAUAUUGUAUGUGGAUGACAUACUGUUGAUGGGAAAUGAUAUAGAAUUCUUGGAAAGCAUAAAGGCCUAUUUGAACAAGUGUUUUUCAAUGAAGGACCUUGGAGAAGCUGCUUAUAUAUUAGGCAUCAAGAUCUAUAGAGAUAGAUCGAGACGCCUCAUUGGUCUUUCACAGAGUACGUACCUUGACAAGAUAUUGAAGAAGUUCAAAAUGGAUCAGUCAAAGAAGGGGUUCUUGCCUGUAUUGCAAGGUACGAGAUUGAGCUUGGAUCAAUGCCCGACCACGGCAGAAGAUAGAGAAAAGAUGAGUGUCGUCCCCUAUGCCUCGGCCAUAGGGUCUAUCAUAUAUGCUAUGCUGUGUACCAGACCUGAUAUAAACCUUGCCGUGAGUUUGGUAGGAAGGUACCAAAGUAAUCCCGGCAUGGAACACUGGACAGCGGUCAAGAAUAUCCUAAAGUACCUGAAAAGGACCAAGGAAAUGUUUCUCGUUUAUGGAGGUGACGAAGAGCUCGUCGUAAAGGGUUACGUCGAUGCUAUCUUCGACACAGAUCUGUAUGACUCUAAGUCACAAACCGGAUACGUGUAUAUUUUAAAUGGUGGGGCAGUAAGCUGGUGCAGUUGCAAGCAAAGCGUUGUGGCGGGAUCUACAUGUGAAGCGGAGUACAUGGCAGCCUCGGAGGCAGCACACGAAGCAGUCUGGGUGAAGGAGUUCAUUACCGACCUAGGAGUCAUACCCAAUGCGUCGGGCCCGAUGACUCUCAUCUGUGACAACACUGGAGCUAUUGCCCUUGCCAAGGAGCCCAGGUUUCAUAGGAAGACCAGGCAUAUCAAGCGUCGCUUCAACUCCAUUCGUGAAAGUGUUCAAAAUGGAGACAUAGAGAUUUGUAAAGUACAUACGGACCUGAAUGUAGCAGAUCCGUUGACUAAACCUCUCCCUAGAGCAAAACAUGAUCAACACCAGAAUUCCAUGGGUGUUAGAUUCAUCACAAUGUAACUAGAUGAUUGACUCUAGUGCAAGUGGGAGACUGUUGGAAAUAUGCCCUAGAGGCAAUAAUAAAAUGAUUAUUAUAUUUCCUUGUUCAUGAUAAUUGUCUAUUAUUCAUGCUAUAAUUGUAUUAUCCGGAAAUCGUAAUACAUGUGUGAAUACAUAGACCACAAUGUGUCCCUAGUGAGCCUCUAGUUGGCUAGCUCGUUGAUCAACAGAUAGUCAUGGUUUCCUGGCUAUGGACAUGGGGAUGUCAUUGAUAACGGGAUCACAUCAUUAGGAGAAUGAUGUGAUGGACAAGACCCAAACCUAAGCAUAGCACAAAGAUCGUGUAGUUCGUUUGCUGUAGCUUUUCUGAAUGUCAAGUAUCAUUUCCUUAGACCAUGAGAUUGUGCAACUCCCGGAUACCGUAGGAGUGCCUUGGGUGUGCCAAACGUCACAACGUAACUGGGUGACUAUAAAGGUACAUUACAGGUGUCUCCGAAAGUGUCUGUUGGGUUGGCACGAAUCGAGACUGGGAUUUGUCACUCCGUAUGACGGAGAGGUAUCUCUGGGCCCACUCAGUAAUGCAUCAUCAUAAUGAGCUCAAUGUGAUCAAGUGGUUGAUCACGGGAUCAUGCAUUACGGUACGAGUAAAGUGAUUUCCGGUAACGAGACUGAACAAGGUAUUGGGAUACCGAUGAUCGAGUCUCGGGCAAGUAAUGUACCGAUUGACAAAGGGAAUUGUAUACGGAUUGAUUAAGUCCUCGACAUCAUGGUUAAUCCGAUGAGAUCAUCGAGGAGCAUGUGGGAGCCAACAUGGGUAUCCAGAUCCCGCUGUUGGUUAUUGACCGGAGAGUCGUCUCGAUCAUGUCUGCUUGUCUCCCGAACCCGUAGGGUCUACACACUUAAGGUUCGGUGACGCUAGGGUUGUAGAGAUAUUAGUAUGCAGCAACCCGAAAGUUGUUCGGAGUCCCGGAUGAGAUCCCGAACAUCACGAGGAGUUCCGGAAUGGUCCGGAGGUGAAGAAUUAUAUAUAGGAAGUGCAGUUUCGGCCAUCGGGAAGGAUCCGGAGUCACCGGUAUUGUACCGGGACCACCGGAUGGGUCCCGGGGGUCCACCGGGUGGGGCCACCCAUCCCGGAGGGCCCCGUGGGCUGAAUUGGGGAGGGAACCAGCCCCUAGUGGGCUGGUGCGCCCCCCUUGCCCCCCCCUGCACCUAGGGUUGGAAACCCUAUGGUGGGGGGCGCCUCCACUUGCCUUGGGGGGCAAGCCUCCCCCUUGGUCGCCGCCCCCCCAAGGAGAUCCCAUCUCCUAGGGCCGGCACCCCCCAGGGGGCCUAUAUAAAGGGGGGAGGGAGGGCAGCCACACAAAAAGCCUUGGUGCCUCCCUCUCCCCUGCUACACCUCUCCCUCUCGCAGAAGCUCGGCGAAGCCCUGCUGCGAUCACUGCUGCAUCCACCACCACGCCGUCGUGCUGCUGGAUCUUCAUCAACCUCUCCUUCCCCCUUGCUGGAUCAAGAAGGAGGAGACGUCAUCCGCUCCGUACUUGUGUUGAACGCGGAGGUGCCGUCCGUUCGGCGCUUGGUCAUCGGUGAUUUGGAUCACGGCGAGUACGACUCCAUCAUCCCCGUUCUCUUGAACGCUUCCGCUCGCGAUCUACAAGGGUAUGUAGAUGCACUCUCCUCUUGUUGCUAGUUGACUCCAUAGAUUGAUCUUGGUGAAACGUAGGAAUUUUUUUUGUUUUCUGCAACGUUCCCCAACGGACGGAACCCCAGUCCGGGGAGGAAAUGGGUGAGGAAUACUACCCUCUCAUGGGGCCUGGGGGUGGGGAUGAGCUGCCCCUCAUCUGGGAGCUGGUGCGCGAUGUCGUCGGGCAGGUAUCCGGCUCUCCUCAGUUUCUUGAUGUCUCCCUCCGUGAUGGAGAAGACCAUCCACUUGCCUCCCGCUCCGGACAUGAUUGGAGAAGGUCGAGGUGGGAAGUGCGGACUUGGGCGCUAGAUCUCGAGUGUGCGGAAAUGGAUGAGCAAAGGAGGAAGAAGGCGUGGAUAGAAAGGUGAAUCCUUAUCGCUUUAUAUGGGCGGACGAAACUAAGCAUCCCCACUUGCCUGGUAAAACUCGCUUAUCCCCCAAGCACCGCAAUUCAUGGCGCGGUUGGGUUACCCACGCCCGUAUUGAUGAGAAUCCCGUAAUAAGGGGACACAAUCUCUGCUUUGACAAGACGUGUCAAAAAACUGCCUCGCGUUAUGUGCGGGGCUGGUUAAAAGAAACGGUUCGAAUAAUCACCGGGCCAUGACGUAACGUCAUGCUGCCAAAACAAGCCAACAAAUUAGAUCUGCGAAAAUAUUAUUCUCUCUACGGUGGAAUGUGGAACUUAUUUUGCAGGGUCGGACACUAUCCUCGUAUUCAAAUUCUUCUGCGGUGUAUUCCGAGAAGGAACCCACCUUGCAAUGCCGAAGACAAUACUGCGCGCCGGACUCAUCGUCAUUGAAGCCUGGUUCAGGGGCUACUGAGGGAGUCCUGGAUUAGGGGGUCUCCGGACAGCCGAACUAUCUCCAUUGGCUGGACUAUUAGACUAUGAAGAUACAAGAUUGAAGACUUCGUCUCGUGUCCGGAUGGGACUCUACUUGGCGUGGAAGGCAAGCCAGGCAAUACGAAUAUGGAUAUCUCCUCCUUUGUAACCGACCUUGUGUAACCCUAACCCUCUUUGGUGUCUAUAUAAACCGAAGGGUUUUAGUCCGUAGGACAACAACCAUAACAUACAAUCAUAUCAUAGGCUAGCUUCUAGGGUUUAGCCUCUCUGAUCUCGUGGUAGAUCUACUCUUGUACUACCCAUAUCAUCAAUAUUAAGCAAGCAGGACUUAGGGUUUUACCUCCAUCAAGAGGGCCCGAACAUGGGUAAAACAUCGUGUCCCCUGCCUCCUGUUACCAUCCGGCCUAGAGACGCAGUUCGGGACCCCCUACCUGAGAUCCGCCGUUUUGACACCGACAGAAGUCCUCUCCCCUUUAGCUGCGUCCUAGGGCUUGGAGGGGCUGUUUACCACACCCCUCCACCUAUAUAUAGUGGGGAGGGGUGUGACGCCCCGAGUCCGAUGCGCCAGGUGUCUUCCAGUUAUUCGUUGUUGUUGCCAUGUCUUUCGCUUGCGUGUUGCAUCUUGCCAUGUCAUCAUCCGCAUUGCAUCAUCAUGUUCAUUUCAUCCGUCCCAAGCUGUCUUUUGUUUUCCCGCCCUCCCACCCUUUUUUCUUCAAGGACUCAUAUUUCUUAAUCAAGUAUCCAUCGUAUGGGUGUGAAGUCUCUCCACUCUUUUCCGUCAAUGUUCUUAUCUGGUGGUUCUCAGGAAGAUUCUAACGGAGCUUCUAGUUCAUCACUCUUCGUUCUCUUUCUUUUCCGGUGGAUUCAAUUCAAGCCUUGUUGAUCAUAUUCCUUUCCUUGUUUAAAAUGCCUUCUCAUGUUGGUGCACCUCUUAAUCAUCCACUUAUUGCAAUUCAAUUGGUCCGAAGUGCUGAAGAUAUCUCGAAGAUUCGUGUUUCCACUCUGCAUUUGUUCAAGCUCUUUCGAGGAUGUUAUCUCAUUCAAGCCAUUUAAUUCAACCGGUGCAAUCUCUAUUUUCAAGCAAUCUUUUCAACGAUGUUUCUUUUGAGUGGGCCCUAACCCAAAAGUUUUUCACAGGAUUUUACCUGACUCUUUUUUUCCCGGUGUUAUUCUCAAAUUCAUUUCAAGUUUGACGUAAGAAUGAACUGUCAUCAGCCAUAUGUCUUCCUCCAAGAUCUUUCAAAUUCGUUCAUCGUUGGCUCAACCUCUUCACUUUUGAUUCUCCGGAGUCCAUCAUCUCAGAAUUAUUCAUUCCAGCUUUCAGCUCUCGUUCUUCAAAUCUUACCGGUACAUCAUUCAAGUAUUCUUUUAUCAGCUCGUGAUCUCUUCGUUCUCAUGUAUCUAAAUCCCAACAAGUAUCUUUAUUCAUUUUCAAAAUCUUCCUGGUGUUUUGUGCUUUUGCUACUUUCAUUUUCAAGUCUUACGGUGGUUUGCUCAAGAUUCUCUUCCAUGGUUAUCAUAUUAAUUCAUUCAUUGUUUCAAUCCUACCGGUGGUUCGUUGAAGACCUUAUCAAGUUAGCUAUACCUCUCUUUAAUCCUUUCUACGAGAAUAAGUAGUAUGCAAAAUCUGUUGCUUGUCAUCAAUUUAAAUUGGUGAAGGAUACGCAUAACGUAAUUCUUAUUAUUGUUUCAUCCAAGUGACCUAAUUUCUUCUUUCCGGAGUUGUUCAUCAUAUCACAUUCUCGGGUCGAGAUGCUUCAUCUUUUCUUACCAGAGUUCUUCAUGAAGGCUCUACAUGGUGGUUCAUCAAGGAUUCUUUUCAUUCUUCAAUUGUUCAUCAAGUUUUCUCUCGAAGCUAAGAUCCGCCAAGCUAUACUCUGAAAUAAACAUGGUGUUCAACACAUGUCUUGUUUUGAGGAGUUCAAGUAUUCUUCAUCUUGCAUUCUGAAGUGCUAUUCUUUCUACAUUAUCUUUUGAGGUGGUGUUAUGUCGUUUUGACAGCUUCCUUCAUCUUUCCUGAUUCACAAGUUGGCCGAAAUGACAUAUUUUAAACCCAUCAUUUUCAAUUCAUUCAUGAGAUCCUUUGCAUCCCAUCAAUCGUUUCAUUGGAGUUAUCUUGGGUUAUAUUUCACCAGAAACUUUCCUAAGGAUUGUUGCUAGUUAUGGUGCUUAUAAAUGAUCCAAGUUCUUCAUUUAUCCUCCCGGUGAAAUAAGUUUCUCGUCUCCUUGUUCAUAUCAAUCCAAUCUAUUGUUUCCAUUAGUGGUAGAAUUUCACCUCAUAGUUUUGAGAUGUUCUCCAUAAGCCCACUACAAGCUUACUCUUUUUGUUGUUGGUUUUCCAACAACUCCGUUAUAACCUUUCUUGGAGGUGUGCUUUCCAAGCUCAUUUGUGGUAGAAGUUGUCAUUUUCUUCUCCGUUCUUUUGUUCUGACGAUCUUUCUUCUAGUCUUUCUUCUGGAGGCAUUGUGAUGUUGCUGUUUUCACUCAUCAUCUCGAAUUGCGAGGAUCGUGUUCUUUUCGUGCUUAUCCAUUCAACCAGAGUGUCGUGUCCUUCAUUCAAGUUCUCUCAUCUUAUCAAGUUUUGCCUCCCUUCUCAACCAGAGUGCUGUCUGAAAUCUUUCUUACCCCUUGUGUCAUUCUUUCAAUAGUUACGGAGGCAGUGUGUUGUUGAUUUCAUCAAGUAUCCUCUCAUCUUGUCAAGUUCAUGUUCAAUUCCUUCCAUUUUCAAUCGGAGUGCUUCCCAAAUUAUAUCAUUCUUAUUCCUUCUCUAUCUCGUUUUAACCGGAGUGUUGUGGCUAUCAUUCCUCUUCUAACCGGACUCUCAUCCAAGUGCUUUCAUUUUGCCAAGCUCAUAUUCUUUACCUUCCAUUUCCAACCAGAGUGUUGUCAUAUUUGAUCCUUAUCGUUCCUUGUACAUAUCGUUUCUACCAGAGUGCUUGCAUGUACUUCCUGUCCAUUGCAAACCUUUUUCUUAUGUGUUUCAACCUACUAGGUUCUAGUAAUGUUCCUUAUUUCUCUUUUCUACCGGAGUGCUCUCAAAUUCGUUCAUCUCUGUUGUGUUCUUUCUUUCUUUCAAGUUUUCAACCUCUCAAGGUUCUUCGGUUUCACUCUUUUGUCAAAGAAGCAACUUAGUUUUACCUCUUCUCUUCCUCUUCCCUUUCCCUCCGGUGCCAUCCUAGAUCUCGGGACGAGAUCUUCUCAUAGUGGUGGUGUGUUGUGACGCCCCGAGUCCGAUGCGCCAGGUGUCUUCCAGUUAUUCGUUGGUGUUGCCAUGUCUUUCGCUUGCGUGUUGCAUCUUGCCAUGUCAUCAUCCGCAUUGCAUCAUCAUGUUUUCGAAACUUGCAUUCGUCCGGGUCUCCCCGUUCUCUCCGUUGUCCGUUCUGAGCCCGACCACACUUGCACGCGCACGCGGCACGUCCAAAAUAGUAUUUCAUAAGUGGCCAGAAAUGUUCUCGGAAUGGGUUGAAAGUUGACAUGCAGUGUUGUUAUCGAGUAGUUAGAAUGCCUGUCAAAUUUCAUCGCAUUCGGAGAUCGUUUGAUGUCCCAACGGAUAACUAUAGCGACAUUAUAGUCGGUCAAACGUCGAACGUUUUCGGUCUCCGAAAACCUUGCCGGGCUGCAUUUCCGUCUCUCUCUUAUCAGCGUGAGACCUCUCCUACACAGCCUAGGUCCAUCUUACCCUCUUUGCAUAGUGCAUUGACCCCUCGCGCGUGUCCGAAACUUACCCGAACCCGACCCGGACAGUCGUCACCGUUGGAUCCGGAUCAUCCCCAAACAUCCCGAAAACAUCUCCGUUUUAUUAUUUGAUCUCCCUAGCCUAUUUAUCCGAGACCGUCCGAUUAAGAUCGGAGGGACCAAAUGCCCCUAAAUUUAGCCCUUUUGCUAUAUAUAGAUCAACCUAUGCCUAUUUUGGACAAACCCUAAUUUCUAGGAAGGUUGUCCCCGUCGCCGCCGCCGCCACCCGGUCUCGAUCCACCUCGGGAUCCCUUCUCCUCGCUUUCCUCCACCCACCAACCAACGCUCCCCACUGCUCCUCCCCGAUUUGCUCUACCCGAUCGACAACCGCAGCAAGCCGCCGCACCAGCAGGACCCCGCGUCCCCGCUCCACCCCUCCUUUCUCCCUGUUCAUCUCGUUGCUCCCUCCCAUCUCAAAUCUCUCUCUUUUCUCUCUUUCUACAGGAACAUGAGGAGGCCAUGGAAGCCGUCCUUCCACACCUCGUCUCUGGCCCCUGCCCGCCAGAGCCGUGCCUCCCUGGAACCGCGGCUGUGCAGUCGGUCGUCAGUCCCGCCGCACCCGCCUUGCCUCGCUCAUCGUCGUCGCCGGAAGCUCCAAGCCGCCUUCCUGUUCAAACCCUUCGUCGUGGAUCGAUUCCAUGGCACAUGACGAACGCCGGAGCAAGAGACUCCUCCUUCGCCGCGCCAAGUACUACAGUCGUUCGUCGCCACCAGGGAGCCGUCGCCCCGCCAAGUCCCCUUGUCUCGCCUGUGCUUGCCCGUACUUCGCCGUCGCGCCGGGCCGCCACUGUGUCCUCUGAUCCCCCAGCGUCCCGCUCGCUUCCUCUGCGUCACAUAGUGGGCCGCCUCGCUCCAGGGCCAGCUCCUCCAUCGCGCCAAGUACCACUGCCCCAUCCUUGCCUUGCCGGAGAGGCUUCUCCUUCGCCAAGUCCCAGCGCCGCUGCAGCUCUAUUUCCAGUCGAGCAAAGGACGCCCGCUCGUCUUGCCCGUUGACCAUGUGCCGCCCACAUGGGCCUAUCCAGCCACUGGCCCAGCUCCAGCCACUCCCGCACCGCACCGGGCCUAGCAUCACCGACCUGGGCCAUGGCCCAUGGGUGAGCCACCCCCUCUCCUUUUGCACUAUUGGCCCAUGUGCAGUUUCGGCCCAUAGGCAUUUUUUCCUAGAUAUGCAAUUUAACGAUUUUCCCAUGAUUUGCCAUUUUGCAGAAACACCCUUGCACAUCAUGCAUAUCAUAACUCACCAACCGUGCAUCGGAUCUAAGUAAAUUAUAUAUGCAACUUGCUUAUAAUUUUGCGUAGAGUAAUAAUUUGCAACUUCCAUCUAUGUUUAAAAUGUUUAAAAUUCUGUUUGGCUAAAUUUGCUCCUAUGCCAUGUUAAAAUGAUUUAAUUCAUAACUAAUUAACCGUAGCUCGGAAUUAAUUAAACUUUAUGUAAAUGGGGUAGAAAAAUGCCUAGUUUAACAUGGUGGCUUUACUUUGCAUGUUUAAAAACUCUAAAAUUGUGUAUAGGGCAGAACAGUACCAAUCCUUAAAUAUGCACAUGAGGAUUUUCCGGACUUGUUGCUUGUUAUUCCGGCCUCAUUUAAACUUGCCUAGAUAGGUAGUUUUAUUUUGCUUCACCUCUUGCCAUGUUAAUCAACAUUUAAUAUUGUUGGGUACAUAAACGAGAUCGAACUAAAUAACUUGAAUGUGGUGUUCCGUCAAUAUGCAACUCGUUGCAUAUUGAGCUCCACUUAACUUGUAGUGUUGUUUGUGCACUUUGCCAUGCCAUGCUUCAUUAAACCGAACAUGCAUCAUACUUGGUUGUGCAUCAUGCCAUGUUGAUGUGAUGGUUGUUUACUAUGUUGUUUGCUUCUUUCCGGUGUUGCUUCUUCGGGUUAGUUCCAAUAACGUCACGUUUGUGAGGAUCCGUUCGACUACAUCCGUUUGUCUUCUUCAUGGACUCGUUCUUCUUCCUUGCGGGAUCUCAGGCAAGAUGACCAUACCCUCGAAAUCACCUCUAUCUUUGCUUGCUAGUUGCUCGCUCUAUUGUUAUGCCGCGAUACCUACCACUUGCUAUAUCAUGCCUCCCAUAUUGCCAUGUCAAGCCUUUAACCCACCUUGCCCUAGCAUACCGUUGUUUGGCUAUGUUACCGUUUUGCUCAGCCCCUCUGAUAGCGUUGUUAGUUGCAGGUGAAGAUGAAGUUUGUUCCUUGUUGGAACAUGGAUAUUGUUGGGAUAUCAUUAUUAUAUCUUGUUUACUUUAAUGCAUCUAUAUACUUGGUGAUAACCCACAAGUAUAGGGGAUCGCACCAGCUUUCGAGGGUAGAGUAUUCAACCCAAAUUUAUUGAUUCGACACAAGGGGAGCCAAAGAAUAUUCUCAAGUAUUAGCAGCUGAGUUGUCAAUUCAACCACACCUGGAAACUUAGUAUCUACAGCAAAGUGUUUAGUAGCAAAGUAAUACGAUAGUGGUGGUAACGGUAAGAAGAAAGUAAUGAAAGCAAAGUAAUAUUUUUGGUAUUAUGUAGUGAUUGUAACAAUAGCAAUGAGAAAGUAAAGAAGCGUAAACCAGUAUAUGGAAAGCUCGUAGGCAUCGGAUCAAUGAUGGAUAAUUAUGCCGGAUGUGGUUCAUCAUGUAACAGUCAUAACAUAGGGUGACACAGAACUAGCUCCAAUUCAUCAAUGUAAUGUAGGCAUGUAUUCCGCAUAUAGUCAUACGUGCUUAUGGAAAAGAACUUGCAUGACAUCUUUUGUCCUACCCUCCCGUGGCAGCGGCGUCCUAAUGGAAACUAAGGGAUGUUAAGGCCUCCUUUUAAUAGAGAACCGGAACAAAGCAUUAGCACAUAGUGAAUACAUGAACUCCUCAAACUAUGGUCAUCACUGGUAAGUAUCCCGAUUAUUGUCACUUCGGGGUUAACGGAUCAUAACACAUAAUAGGUGACUAUAGACUUGCAAGAUAGGAUCAAGAACUCUCAUAUAUUGAUGAAACAUAAUAGGUUCAGAUCUGAAAUCAUGGCACUCGGGCCCUAGUGACAAGCAUUAAGCAUAGCAAAGUCAUAGGAACAUCAAUCUCAGAACAUAGUGGAUACUAGGGAUCAAACCCUAACAAAACUAACUCGAUUACAUGAUAAAUCUCAUCCAACCCAUCACCGUCCAGCAAGCCUACGAUGGAAUUACUCAUGCACGACGGUGAGCAUCAUGAAAUUGGUGAUGGAGGAUGGUUGAUGAUGACGACGGUGACGAAUCCCCCUCUCCGGAGCCCUGAACAGACUCCAGAUUAGCCCUCCCGAGAGGUUUUAGGGCUUGGCGGCGGCUCCGUAUCGUAAAACGCGAUGAAAUCUUCUCUCCUAUUUUUUCUCCCCAAAAGCAGUUAUAUAGAGUUGGAGUUGGAGUCGGGAGGUCUCCAGGGGGCCCACGAGGUAGGGGGCGCACCCUAGGGGGGGGGCGCCCCCACCCUCGUGGCAAGGGUGUGGGCCCCCUGGUCUUCAUCUUUGGUGAGGAUUUUUUAUUAUUUAUUGUAAGAUAUUCCAUGGAGUUUCAGGUCAUUCCGAGAACUUUUGUUUUCUGCACAUAAAACAACAUCAUGGCAAUUCUGCUGGAAACAAUGUCAGUCCGGGUUAGUUCCAUUCAAAUCAUACAAGUUAGAGUCCAAAACAAGGGCAAAAGUGUUUGGAAAAGUAGAUACGACGGAGACGUAUCAACUCCCCCAAGCUUAAACCCUUGCUUGUCCUCAAACAAUUCAGUUGACAAACUGAAAGAAAUGAAGAAAAACUUUUACAAACUCUGUUUGCUCUUGUUGUUGUAAAUAUGUCAAGCUAGCAUUCAAGUUUUUAGCAAAGAUUAUAACUAACCAUAUUUGCAAUAAUUCUCAGGUCUCAUGAUUACCCAUAUCAAUAGCAUAAUCAACUAGCAAGCCAUAAUAAUAAAUCUCGGAUGACAACACUUUCUCAAAACAAUCAUAAUAUGAUAUAACAAGAUGGUAUCUCGCUAGCCCUUUCUGAGACCGCAAAACAUAAAUGCGGAGCACCUUUAAAGAUCAAGGACUGACUAGACAUUGUAAUUCAUGGUAAAAGAGAUCCAAUCAUAGUCACACCCAAUAUAAAUUAACAGUGAUGAAUGCAAAUGACAGCUGCGCUCUCCAGCUAGUGCUUUUAAUAAGAGGGUGAUGACUCAACAUAAAAGUAAAUGGAUAGGCCCUUCGCAGAGGGAAGCAGGGAUUUGUAGAGGUGCUAGAGCUUGUUUUGAAAUAGAGGUGAAUAAUAUUUUGAGCGGUAUACUUUCAUUGCCAACAUAACAACCAAGAGAUGGCGAUAUCUUCCAUGCUACACACAUUAUAGGCGGUUCCCAAACAGAAUGGUAAAGUUUAUACUCCCGCUCCACCAACAAACAUCAGUUAAUGGCUUGCUCGAAACAACGAGUGCCUCCAACAUACAUCAGGUCCCAGGGGGAGUUUUGUUUUGCAAUUAUUUUGAUUUAGUUUGCAUAAAGCAUGGGACUGGGCAUCCUGGUGACCAACCAUUUUCUCGUGAGUGAGGAGCGGAGUCCACUCCUCUUGAGAAUAACCCGCCUAGCAUGGAACAUACAGACAUCCCUAGUUGAUACAUGAGCUAUUCGAGCAUACAAAACAAGAUAAUUAUUUGAAGGUUUAGAGUUUGGCACAUACAAAUUUACUUGGAACGGCAGGUAGAUACCGCAUAUAGGAAGGUAUAGUGGACUCAUCUGGAAUAACUUUGGGGUUUAAGGGAUUGGAUGCACAAGCAGUAUUCCCGCUUAGUACAGGUGAAGGCUAGCAAAAGACUGGGAAGCGACCAACUAGAGAGCGACAACAACCAUGUACAUGCAUUAAAAUUAAUAAACAUUGGAUGCAAGCAUGAGUAGGAUAUAAUCCACCAUGAACAUAAAUAUCGUGAAGGCUAUGUUGAUUUGUUUCAACUACAUGCGUGAACAUGUGCCAAGUCAAGUCACUUAAAUCAUUCAGAGGAGGAUACCACCCUAUCAUACCACAUCAUAACCAUUUUAAUAGCAUGUUGGCAAGCAAGGUAAACCAUUAUAACUCAUGGCUAAUCAAGCAUGGCACAAGCAACUAUGAUCUCUAAUUGUCAUUGCGAAUCAUGUUUAUUCAUAACAAGCUGAAUCAAGAACGAUGAACUCAUCAUAUUUACAAAAACAAAAGAGGUCGAGUUCGUACCAGCUUUUCUCAUCUCAGUCAGUCCAUCAUAUAUCAUCAUAAUUGCCUUUCAGUUUCACGACCGAACGAUGUGAAUAAUAAUAAGAGUGCACGUGCAUUGGACUAAGCUGGAAUCUGCGAGCAUUCAAUAAACAGGAGAAGACAAAGCAAUAUGGGCUCUUGGUUAAAUCAACAAUAAAGCAUAUAAGAGCCACUUCAACAAUUUAAUCAUGGUCUUCUCCUACUGACCCCCAAAGAAAAGAAAAGAAAUAAAACUAUUUACACGGGAAAGCUCCCAACAAGCAAAAGAAGAACAGGAAAUCUUUUUGGGUUUUCUUUUUUAAUUACUACUACAAGAAGGGAAAUUAAAUUAAUUAAAAGCUACAACUAAUUUUUUUUUGUUUUUUUCGUAAGGUUUAUUAAACACACAAGAAGAAAGCAUAGAAGGAAAUAAACUAGCAUGGAUGAUACAAUGAAAAAGUAUGAACACCGACAUCUAGCAAUGAGUGUGUGUGAACAUAAAUGUAAUGUCGGUGAGAAAUACGUAAUCCCCCAAGCUUAGGCUUUUGGCCUAAGUUGGUCUAUGGCCACGGCUGGCCUGGCUGAUAUCCAUAAUAAUAGUUGGGGUCGUACUGCGAUGAGGAAGAAGAAGGCUCCGAUUGCCACUGGCUGGCAAUCAUCUCUGGAUCCCACUGAUAGUUAGACUGUCGUGAAGGAUCAAAUUGUGGUUCCAGUUCUGGCUCCUCGGCUGGUGCAAGGUUCCGGUAGGCAUGGAUAGCCGUCAACAGAACAAGGUACGUGCCUACAGUCAAAUCAAACAAAGAAGGAGCAGGCAAGGUAAUAGUCUCAGGAUGAUGUUUAUUAAAGAACAAUUGAUAUUUAAGCUCUCCUGCCCUAUUCUUAAUAAUAAAAUCAUGUGCCACCAUACUUUUAUAAUCUAGAUAAACACGAGGCAGCACUUUUUCUUCCUUCUCAGCAUGCCUAAUAGGUAUGUUAAAAUGUGCAUCUAGGUGUGUAGCAUAGAUGCCUCCAAAGAUGGGGCCCUUUGUACGGUUCAGACUUAACCGUUUAGCAAUAAUACCGCCCAUACUAAAAAUGUUAUCACUGUAUGAACCGUGGAGCAAAAUAAUUAUAUCAGGGAUACUAAGGUUUCCACAGUUUCCGCAUCCAAUUAAGCAACGACUAGCAAAUACUGCAAAGUAACGUAAAACAGGAAAAUGUAUGCUAGUGAUUUGUGCAUCGGAAACCUUCCUAGUUUCUCCUACAGUGAUAGUAUCAAUAAACCCCUCCACAUCAUCAUGAUGUGGUGUAGCGACCAGACCUCAGACAGUCUGAUCUCUGUGCUCCGAUGUCAUCCCUGGAUUAGCAAUGCUGACACCAUACAGUACUCGGAGGAUUUAUAGCAGAGUAGCAAUCACACACUUAUUACAUCGAGUGUCUCAAAAGAGAAAUUAUUACAAUAAAUAUGGCUUAAGGCCAUCUAAUAACGAUAAUAGCGGAAGGCUUGGAAGAUAAGUGAGUCCAUCAACUCCAACGGCAUCACUGAGUAUAGAACCACGACCUAAAAACUCCUUAAUCGUCAUCUGAAAAGUCUGCAACAUUAACGUUGCAGCCCAAAAAUGGGUCAGCACAUGGAAUAUGCUGGCAAGGUAACACAUAGAGAGUAAUGGAAUGAAACAGCUAUACUAUAUGCAUAUUUGGCUGGUGGAAAGCUCUAUGGUUACAGUUUUGCGUAAAGCCAAUUUUUCCCUACUUCAAAGGAAUAAAAUUUAAUCACUAUCAUGGUGGUAGUUAAACAUUGAGAAUGGUUGACAGCAUUCUCAAUCCCAAUUAAGCAUCAUCAUUAAACAUAACCCAACAAAAUUAAUUUAGAGUAACAUGUUGAGAUUCACAUGAAAAUCCAAGUACUAGAUACUCAAGAUGUCCAUAACCGGGGACACGACUAAUCAUGAUUAGUUUAUUACACUCUGCAGAGGUUUGCGCACUUUUCCCCACAAGACUCGAUCACCUCCGUUUGGUUUCUCGCACUACAUGGUGUUUGAGAAGACGGAUGACCGAGACAUAGUCUUUCAGAAGCGCUAGCACCUUACGAUCGGGUAGACCGUACCACCUACAUCUGCUAGUCUACCACUAUAAGAGUUCGCACAACUUAGUCAACUAUGCUAGAGCCCAUAAUAGCUUGUGGCUGCACACGAAAGUUUCUAGUAGGAAUAGUCUCAUGAUCCCUUUGAGCCUGGGUGGCGGUCCAAAAGAAAAUAGGCAAGUCCUGGAAUACCCAGGUGCCUCAGUCCACCCAGAUGUGUGUUUAAGUUGCCACCUUAGAUAAACCAUUAAUUAACAAUCUCACAUCUGUCAUGGAUAUCACUCACCCAAUCCACGUCUACUAGCAUAGCAUGGCGUAAUAAGCAAACGUAGAAGUAACUCCCAAAGGUUUGAUAAUAACAGGUAAUAGGUACUACCUCAUCUACUUACCAUCCCACAAUUUAAUUAGAUCCUAAUCAUGUAAUGUGUUAGGAUUGAUCUAAUGCAAUAAAACUGGGUAGUAGGAAAAGGUAUGAUCAAAGUGUUACUUGUCUUGCUGAUGAUCCGCGAAACCUAACGAUUCGAAGUAACAGUCGGCGCACUUCGGGUAUUCUAUCGCAGACAAACAAACAAGCAUACAAUAAGUACUCAUCUAAUGCACAGGUAAAACUCAAAUAAGAGAUCUAACCAGAAGGUUCAACUUAAGAACUCCGGUUGGCAAAAAGAAUCAAAUUGAACGAAGCAAUGAAAGUCAAACGGCGAAAGAAAACAACUUCGUUCUAGUAAUCUGGAUCUAGGGCAAAUUUUACAGUAACAAAAACUUGUUUAAGUUGGUUAAACGGAUAGAGGGUUUCGAGACGAAUCCCUAGGCGCUUGAAUAAAUGGAACAAAGCAUUAGCACAUAGUGAAUACAUGAACUCCUCAAACUACGGUCAUCACCGGUAAGUAUCCCGAUUAUUGUCACUUCGGGGUUAACGGAUCAUAACACAUAAUAGGUGACUAUAGACUUGCAAGAUAGGAUCAAGAACUCUCAUAUAUUGAUGAAAACAUAAUAGGUUCAGAUCUGAAAUCAUGGCACUCGGGCCCUAGUGACAAGCAUUAAGCAUAGAAAAGUCAUAGCAACAUCAAUCUCAGAACAUAGUGGAUACUAGGGAUCAAACCCUAACAAAACUAACUCGAUUACAUGAUAAAUCUCAUCCAACCCAUCACCGUCCAGCAAGCCUAUGAUGGAAUUACCUACGCACGGUGGUGAGCAUCAUGAAAUUGGUGAUGGAGGAUGGUUGAUGAUGACGACGGUGAUGAAUCCCCCUCUCCGGAGCCCCGAACAGACUCCAGAUCAGCCCUCCCGAGAGGUUUUAGGGCUUGGCGGUGGCUCCAUAUCGUAAAACGCGAUGAAAUCUUCUCUUCUAUUUUUUUCUCCCCCGAAAGCAGUUAUAUAGAGUUGGAAUUGGAGUCAGGAGGUCUCCAGGGGGCCCACAAGGCAGGGGGCGCGCCCUAGGGGGGGGGGCGCCCCCACCCUCGUGGCAAGGGUGUGGGCCCCUUGGUCUUCAUCUUUGGCGAGGAUUUUUUAUUAUUUAUUGUAAGAUAUACCGUGGAGUUUCAGGUCAUUCCGAUAACUUUUGUUUUCUGCACAUAAAACAACAUCAUGGCAAUUCUGCUGGAAACAACGUCAGUCCGGGUCAGUUCGAUUCAAAUCAUACAAGUUAGAGUCCAAAACAAGGGCAAAAGUGUUUGGAAAAGUAGAUACGACGGAGACGUGUCACUUGGUAAAGGGUGGAAGGCUCGGCCUUAUGCCUGGUGUUUUGUUCCACUCUUGCCGCCCUAGUUUCCGUCAUACCGGUGUUAUGUUCCUUGAUUUUGUGUUUCUUAUGCGGUUGGGUUAUAAUGGGAACCCCUUGAUAGUUCACUUUGAAUAAAACUCCUCCAGCAAGGCCGAACCUUGGUUUUGCCAUUUGCCACCUAAGUCUUUUUCCCUUGGGUUCUGCAGACUCAAGGGUCAUCUUUAUUUUAAACCCCCGGGCCAGUGCUCCUCUGAGUGUUGGUCCAAACUAGAGCCCCUUGCAGCGCCACCUCGGGGAAACUUGAGGGUUGGUUUUUAGUUGUACGGAUUGCUUAUCCCGUGUGCCUUGAGAACGAGAUAUGUGCAGCUCCUAUCUAGAUUUGUCGGCACAUUCGGGAGGCUUUGCUGGUCUUGUUUUACCAUUGUCGAAAUGUCUUGUAACCGGGAUUCUGAGUCUGAUCGGGUCUUCCUGGGAGAAGGAAUAUCCUUCGUUGACCGUGAGAGCUUGUGAUGGGCUAAGUUGGGACACCCCUGUAGGGUUUUGAACUUUCGAAAGCCGUGCUCGCGGUUAUGGGCAGAUGGGAAUUUGUUAAUAUCCAAUUGUAGAAAACUUGACACUUAACUUAAUUAAAAUGAAUCAACCGCGUGUGUAGCCAUGAUGGUCUCUUUUCGGCGGAGUCUGGGAAGAGAACACAGUCUCGUGUUUUGCUUGAACGUAAGUAGAUUCAGGAUCACUUCUAGUUCACGACCGUUGCUUUGCUUCUCUUCUCGCUCUUAUUUGCGUAAGUUAGCCACCAUAUAUGCUAGUGCUUGCUGCAGCUCCACCUCACUACCUUCUCCUACCCAUAAGCUUAAAUAGUCUUGAUCUCGCGGGUGUGAGAUUGCUGAGUCCUCGUGACUCACAGAUACUUCCAAACAGUUGUAGGUGCCGAUGCUACCAGUGCAGGUGACGCAACCCAGCUCAAAUGGGAGCUCGACGAAGAUCGUGUUCGUUGUGUUGUUUUUGUUUCCAGUUGAUCAGUAGUGGAGCCCAGUCGGGGCGAUCGGGGAUCUAGCAAUUGGGGUUGUCUUUCUUUAUUUGGUUCCAUAGUCGGACCUUGAUUGUAUUCUGGAUGAUGUAAUACUAUAUUGACGUAUUGUGUGAAGUGGCGAUUGUAAGCCAACUCUUUAUCCCUUUCUUAUUCAGUACAUGGGAUGAGUAAAGAUUACCCCUCUUGCGACAUGCCUACUAUGCGGUUAUGCCUCUAAGUCAUGCUCCGACACGUGGGGAAUAUAGCCGCAUCGUGGGUGUUACAAGGGGGCUCCCCAAGAGGACACGCCAAGCCCUUGGCGCCCCUCUCUCUCUCGUUACUCCGUAGUUCCACCGCCUCGUCUCGGCGAUGCUUAGCGAAGCGCUAUCGGUGUUCCACCACCACCAUCACCACCAUGACGUCGUGUUGGUUGUGAUCUCAUCUACUUCUCCUCUCCCGCUUGCUGGAUCAAGAAGGAGCAGACGUCAUCGAGCCGCACGUGUGCUAAACUCAGAGGUGUCAUAUUCCGUUCGGCACUAGAUCGGUUGGAUCGUGAUCGGAUCGCGAAGAGUACGACUACAUCAACCGCGUGAUAAAACACUUCCAUUUAACGGUCUACGAGGAUACGUAGAAGCACUCUCCCUUCUCGUAGCUAUGCAUCUCCAUGGAUAGAUCUUGCAUGUGCUUAUUUUUUUAUAUUUUCCAUGCAACAUUCCCCAACAAUAAUAAUUCAUGAUUAAUGUUUAUAUUCUAUGCUAUAAUUGUCGUGGUUCUCAAUCCCGCAAAAACCAAGAGAAUCAGAGGAAAACUCAUCUACACAUCUAGAGUUAUAAGCGAUAAAAUAAGAUUCCUGUUGGGGAACGUUGCAGAAAAUUAAAAUUUUUCCUAUGGUUUCACCAAGAUCCAUCUAUGAGUUCAUCUAAGCAACGAGUCAAGGGAGAGAGUUUGCAUCUACAUACCACUUGUAGAUCACGAGCGGAAGCUUGUCAAGGGGAUGGUGAUGAUGGAGUCAUACUCGAACGUGAUUCGGAUCACCGAUGUCCAAGUGCUGAACGGACAACACCUCCGCGUUCAACACAUGUACGGGACGGGAGACGUCUCCUCCGUCUUGAUCCAGCAAGGAGGAAGGAGAGGUUGAGGAAGGCAGCUCCAACGGCAGCACGACGGCGUGGUGUAGUUGGUGCAGCAGUACUCCGACAGAGCUUCGCCAAGCACGUACGGAGGAGGAGAGGUGUUGGGGAGGGGAGGGGCUGCGCCUUGAGUUGUGGUGUGUUGCAGCCCUCCCCUCACCCCUCUAUAUAUAGGGGAAGGGGCGAGGGGGGCCGGCCCUCUAGGGAAAACCCUAGGGGGGCGGCGGCCAAGGGGUGGGGGGCUUGCCCCCCAAGCAAGGGGGGUGCGCCCCCUUUAGGGUUUCCCCCCCAACCCUAGGCGCAUGGGCCCAAGGGGGGGGGGGCGCCAAGCCCACUAGGGGCUGGCUGCUACCCCUACGCAGCCCAAGUGCCCCCCCGGGAGGGGUGGUCCCUCCCGGUGGACCCCUGGAACCUUUCCGGUGGUCCCGGUACAAUACCGGUAUGACCCCGAAACUUUCCGGUGCCCGUUUAACAACUUCCCAUAUAUAAAACUUUACCUCCAGACCAUUCCGGAACUCCUCGUGACGUCCGGGAUCUCAUCCGGGACUCCGAACAACAUUCGGUAAUCACAUACUUGUCUUCCUGAUAACCCUAGCGUCACCGAACCUUAAGUGUGUAGACCCUACAGGUUCGGGAGACAUGCAGACAUGACCGAGACUCUCCGGUCAAUAACCAACAGCGGGAUCUGGAUACCCAUGUUGUCUCCCACAUGCUCCUCGAUGAAGUCAUCGGAUGAACCACGAUGUCGAGGAUUCGAUCAAACCCCGUAUACAAUUCCCUUUGUCAAUCGGUACGUUACUUGCCCGAGACUCGAUCGUCGGUAUCCCAAUACCUUGUUCAGUCUCGUUACCGGCAAGUCAAUUUUCUCGUACCGUAAUGCAUGAUCCCGUGGCCAACACCUUGGUCACCUUGAGCUCAUUAUGAUGAUGCAUUACCGAGUGGGCCCAGAGAUACCUCUCCGUCAUAUGGAGUGACAAAUCCCAGUCUCGAUCCGUGUCAACCCAAUAGACACUUUCGGAGAUACCUGUAGUGCACCUUUAUAGUCACCCAGUUACGUUGUGAUGUUUGAUACACCCAAAGCAUUCCUACGGUGUCAGGACCCCGACUCAAUGCCACAUCGAUCUAGCAUGUAACACCUCAUAUCACUUUGCGGCCUCACGCACGGUAUUCCCACGGGUGUCGCCUUACCUUAGCCCGGGACCGUUUGCGCCUUUUGGCACACGUAUAUGACAGUGUCGCUAGCAUCCAUAUGAUAAGGAGCCCGGGCUGACAUGGCUAGUCGUAAACCCAAAGUGGCACAGACUUACAGGGACAGGCAUCCAUGACCCAGCAUCGAACGUGUCGGUCAUCAGCAAAUGGAUCCAGGCUGUAGCACUGGGCUAGCAGGACUCCGGUGAACCGGGCUGUAGCGGGCUAGCAGGACUCCGGUAUUCAUCGCGUGACAUUUCCCCGAAGGGACAGACACAGGAACGAAGAAGGACACAUGCCGGCCAGCCUAAGUGUUCCGGAGCAGUAGCAAGCUACCAUGGCUCGUUGGAAACACUAGGAGACAUUUCCCGGUAAGAGAGGCUACUAAAGAUAAACAACUAGAUGGUCAGAUCCCACACAUACCAAGCAUUUCAAUAACAUACACACAAUAUGCUCGAUAUGUGCAAAUACAACAUGGCAUCACAACAUGACUCUACGACUCAAGUAUUUUAAUCAAUAGGCUCCGAGGAGCGAGAUAUUACAAACAUGGGUCUCACGACCCAACAAUCAGAGCAUACAAGUCAAAGCACAAGCGGAAGCUAUCAUGUCUGAGUACAGACAUCUAUAAAUGAAAAAGGCUGAGAAGCCUGACUAUCUAUCAGAUCCUGCCGAGGGCACAAGAUCGUAGCUGAGGUAUCAAGCUAAACGUCGAAGUCCACGUGGAACUACUAGCGAGACCGAAGUCUCUCUGCAAAAACAUAAAAUAGGCAAACGUGAGUACAAAUGUACCCAGCAAGACUUACAUCAGAACUAUCUACAUAUGCAUCAUUAUCAACAAAGGGGAUGGUAGGGUUUGACUGCAGCAAGCCAGCUUUGACUCGGUGGCUAUCCUGAACUACGACUGCAAGUAACUCUUUUGAAGUGGCGCACACGAGUCCACAUAUUCACCAACCAAUACACCACUAUGGAUCCGCUCCCGUCUCCCUACGAGAACGCCAUCCAUAGCACUCACUCUUAUCUUGCGUAUUUUAGAGUAUCCACUUUCACUUGUCUAUGAACUAUGCAAGGGGUCCACGUUUCCAUAUCCGAGGAAUCCGGCUAUUCGAAUAGAUGAUGUUAACCCUGCAGGGGUGUACUUCUUCACACACGCUCCCGCCACUUACCGCCCUGUACACGUCAUGUACCUCGGCAACCUUCAAGCGGAAACCGGGCGAGGGAGUCGGCCAUGACCUGACUAACCGAACAAGUCUCUAGUCCAGGUUUAUCGCCUAUUCGGGUUCCAUCCGCAAGGAGAUCCGGCCGGGGUGUCGCUCACGGCCCCAAACGAUGUGUGCAGGGUUCCCAAGCCCACCAACCGGGUGCCACUUGGUACACCGUGCCACGGUGCCUAGUCUGUCCCAAGCCCACCUGUACCGGGUGCCACUUGGUAGACUACUAACACUACCUACAAACACCAGAAACUAGUUGCAACUCCUGGACAGAGAUCAUGUUGAUUAAUAAGUCGAGAGGGGCACUUAAGCAUUCCAAUGUGUGGUAGUAGCUGGUCAUGGAUCACAAACACAGAACUCAGUUCCUGAGGACGGCUGCAAUGAGACAACCCACCAUGUACUCCUACAUGGCCUCUCACCGCUACCUUUACCAAAACGUGUUCACACACUUAGCUCACACACAUGGGGACAUGUUCACACGCCUCUGAUUCAUCCCCGAUGAAUCAGACCUGACUCAACUCUAAGCAGUAGCAGGCAUGACAAACAAGCAUGAAUGAGUAGGCACAACAGGGCUCAAACAACUCCUACUCAUACUAGUGGGUUUCAUCUAUUUACUGUGGAAUGACAGGUCAUGCAAAGGAUAAAGGGGUUCAGCUACCGCAGCAAGUAACAGAUGAAUCGGUGUUGUCCUAAUGCAGUAAAAGAGAGCAGGAGCGAGAGAGUAGGAUUGUAUCGGAAUGAACAAGGGGGUUUUGCUUGCCUGGCACUUCUGAAGAUAACAUUGAGUCUUCAUCAGUGUCAACGAUCACAUCAUCGGUAUCACGUCUAUCGAGAGGGGACAAAUACCGGCAACACAGAAAGGAACACAAUCAAUGCAAUGCACAAUAUGAUGCAUGAUCAUGACAUGGCAAAAUGAAUGUGUUUUGAGCUAAUGCAACUAGCAACAGAUUAAAUGAAGUUGGGUUGAAUACAAAAUUCAAAUUCAAACUCCAUAUGUGAUUAUUUAAAUGCCCUUUAUAUGAUUUGUGCUAAACAGCACCUAUAAGUUGUUCUAACAUGCAUGAAAAUGGUACAGAUGGAUUCCUUGAAUUUUUCUAAUAAUUUUUCAUAUAUAAUUUAUUUAAUUUGGAGUUACGGUUAAUUUUCUAUGAUUUUUAGAAGUUUUAGGCAUUUUCUAAAAUUUCAGAAUUAAAUUAAAUCCAGAAAAUGAGUUAUGACAUCAGCACUGCGUCAUGCUUGCAUCAGCAAGUCAACAGGGCUGCCCCGGGUCAAACCUGACCAGGGGGUCCCAUUAGUCAGUGACUUAGGGCUCGUUUAGGUCGCUGGCAGGUGGGCCCAGUCAACGGACACAUCAGCCUGGUCAACUCCGACGUGUGGGGUCGGUCAAAGUGUGACGGGGCCAGGUCAAACUGACCUAUGGGGCCCACAAAAUUAGUACUAAUCUAAACAGAGAGGUUAAACUAAUUAAUUAGGCACGGGGGCCCACUUGGCAGUGGCUCUAGUGGGUGAUUAGCGGGGUGUUUACGCCCUAACCAAGUGGCCACGUCGGCGAGUGACGCCGGCGACCACGGCGACGGCGAGACCUCGCCGGAGUUGCUCGGGACGGCGCUACGGCCCGCGGCUGGUCGCGCUGAGGGCACCAAGAGGAAGCCCGUGCUCCCGCGCAUCUAGGGGGACCCACGAGAGGGCGUGGGGUGGCCGGAGUUGAGCGCGGCAUCGACCCCGGCGGCGGCCGGAGCUCGGGGGUUCGCGGGACCGGCGCUGCGGUGUGCAAACAAGACGGUGGUCGUGCUAGUUUUACUCUACGGGACGCAACGAGUGCAACGGACGCAGGCGUGGGACCAAAAGGUCACCGGAGCUUCACCGGCGACGAGCCCGUGCGGCGGAGCGUCUCGGCUCCGGCGGAUUUGAUAGCUACGCGGUGCAACCGAGGCAGGGGAGAGAGGGGAAAGAUUCCAGUGCUCACGGUGAACUCGCAGAGCAGACUGGUGGGCUCGGGGAUGGCUUGAUGACGACGAAUCAACGACGGCGAUCUCGGGCGGCCGGAGAUGGAGAAGACGGCGUGGGCGGCGAUGCAGGGCUCCCGGCGUUGCGUAGCUCCAUGGAGAGGUCGGGGGCGUCGAGGCGGAGCUCCUGGGUGCAUCGGCGAGGCUAGGGGUGCACGGUGGCUGCGGCAAUCAGCGUCGGUGGCGGCGGCUGCGCUCGGCACGAGAGGGAGAGAGAAACAGAGGAGGGGGAGAGCUCGGGAGAGAGUGAGGGGCGGUCGGGGAGGCCGCGUGUCGACGUCCAGGGCGUCCAGAGCGUCGGGGGAGAGCGGUAAGCAGGAGCUGGCGAGGCGCGUGGCCAGCACGCGGCGGGCACGCGCUCGUCCUCCUGUCCAGGGAGGAAGACGACAGGGAGGCUGUGGUGGUGGGCUGGGCCGGCCACUUGGGCCGCCAGGUAAGCCCAGGUGAGAUUCCUUCUCUCUCUCUGCUUUCUGUUUUAUAUUUCUGUUUUUCUAUUUUGUUCUGUUUUGUUUUGGUUUAGUAAAAAUACUAAACCAUUUUAUAAAAUCCUGAAAAUAAUUAUGUGGCUAGAACUAAAAUAUACCAAACCACAUAAAAUGUUCCAGAAUUAUUGGACAUAUAUUAAUUAUAUAUAAAAUAUAAAUCCAAUGCAAUUAGUUAUUGAAUUAAUUCAAAUGGCCAAAACAAAUAUUUCUGUGACUCCAAAAAUAUUGGUUUGAAUUUUACCUCUUGCCAAUAUUUCCAGAGGAUAACAAGAACAUUUUCUUGGACUUAUUUGAAGCAAUUUUUAUCUUGAUCAUUUUUUAAAGAAUUCUGAGGCUUUGAAAAUUCCUCAAUUCAAAUUUCAUUUGAAUUUAAACAUGAUGCAGCAACCAAGCUAGUCCAAGGCCAGGGUAAAGCUAGGGAUGUGACAACUCACCCCCACUAAACAAGAAUCUCGUCUCGAGAUUCAAGCGUAGGGUAGGAUGAAGGGGAAACGCAAACUAGUAUAAUCUUCACGAUCCAGGUUGCGCUUCGAAUGAACGUCGAUUCGAUCACCAUCAUUGUCUCGAAGUCUUGCUCUGAGAAAUCCUGCCAACAUGACAUGGAGAGAAGAAGGAGACUCUAGAAGGGUCGAUCUUCUCGAAGAUCGAACAACUCAGGAUUAACUCACGGAAUGAGACAUAGCAACCUCUCUCGAGCUGAGACACUAAACAUACAUCCAUGGGAAUGGAGUGAAGCAGAUGACGAAGGUUCACUAGGUAGACAACAAUUUCACGCUUAAGAGGGUGGCAAACGAUUGUCAACGUAGCGAGGAGUUGAGUUGCCAUGAUACCACGACGAAACAUCCUGGAGGAGGGUGAUUCGUAGAUUAUUAUCUUAAGUGGCAAAAAGAAUUACUUUUGAUAUAGAGAUCAUUGAGACUCUCUAUAUCAGCAUGAGGCAAUUCACAACGAUCGUUUGGAGGGGGUCGGUAGAAUGGCACAUUGGUGGUGCAAGCUGGGAACAAAAUGCAAAUGCUGGAAUGAUUCUGGUAACUGGGGAAGAACCCAACAACAGAGAGUGAAUUCUAUGUUUGAAAAGAUCAUAGCAUUGCCGAGGAAACUGAGAGCAAUCUCGGUUAGUGCCGAUGAUAACACGUAGCGCUUGUGCGUGCUCUCAAGAACUUGAGCAUUUCCACAUUCAUCAAGGUUUUACCAACAUCCGUGUCAAGGAUCCUGGCAACACAACUUGCUACCAUGAUGAAUGGUGAUGGAGGAUGCAGAUGCAAAGGAAGAUAAUACCUUCUCAGAUUUCACCUUAGCGAGGCCAAGGAAAUAAAAUAUGGAUGAUCGACCGAGAGACAUUUAGCACUCCGCUUCUAAUGUUCUCCUUGAUGUGCUAGGGUAACCCAUUCAUAGAUAUGGUUUGAUAUCUGGAACAUCAAGUAAAGGUCGGACUUCGGGAGCAAUAGAAUCCAUAAGGAACAGUUACGGAGGUAAAUCCUACGAAAUCCUUAUGGGGAGGUGGCUAACUUCCUCAACCAAGAUACUACCAUAAUAGGUCUUCCGGCUGGGUGUGUUGGCCACGACAUCCACUUUACCGGUUAUCGAGGGACCAAUAUUAUAGUUCUUGGGAAAUGUUCCAACCAUCAUAUCUGCCUGAGACUCAGAUCUGGUUGGUGUCAGGAUAUUCCAGACUCAUCGAGUCUAGGAAGAAAAAUGGAAGUUUGCAACACAAAUCGACGAGAUGACGUUGCGAGAUUCUCGGGAAAUGAACUACGAUAGUAAGCUCCAAAACAUGAGCUGGUUCUGCUACAAACAUGUGAACACGUUGUUCCAGACAAGCAUGCCCACAUGGUAGUCUUACAAUAAAACACUACCGAGUUCUGGUUGGGAGCCAUCAUCGAGGAUAUCGAAGUUCUUUCAUAAGUCCGGAUUAGCUCUUACGAAGAUACUCCUUCUCCUUGAACAAAUCAGUCGGUGGCUUGAUGUGCUAGGAUACACAUAUGGAAUGAAGAUGAUCAGUCUAUCAAACCACAGAAUACUUCGCACGUGCAUAACUGACUUGGGAUGGUUCCAGAGGAGGCAAAAACAUGCUUUCUCGAAUUCACGUCGGCAACUUACAUCAAAUGCACAUGAAUCAAAGGAAGUCACUUCUUUUAUCCAAACAUAUACUUCAUGAACGGGGCAUGAAGAAAAUGCUUUCAAAAGUUUCCAACACUAACUUAAUGUUCAACAACAUCAUGGAGGAGAUAAGAAUGUUGUCAAUGGGCUCAACAACAACUCAUCGGAAUUUCCAUAUCACUGGACUUCCACCAUCGUGUGAACACGGUGAUAGCAUUGGUCAGCCCCAAAAGAUAUAAUGGUGUAUGCUCGAGGGAUCAACCACGAGUAAGACAACAUUACGAACACCGUUGGUUCUGACUUGAUUUGACGGUAGCCCACACUCAAAUCAAAGGAUUGAUAAGACAAUAGGUCCAGCAACUGAUCACAGGGACCAAUCGAUGAAGAUAUCAUCUUUCUUCAACACACACUACACAAGAAUAUCCCUUUGGAACGAACUAAGUCAGGCAAGCUUUUAUCUUCCAACCCUCCAAGUUAUUGUUUAGCUUAACCAACUAGCUCAGGGAUAUCUAACACCGAUUCUUGGAGAGAAGGUGGUUCACAAGAAACCAACUUGAUCACGAGCUCAACAUAGCGGUCAGGUGACAACCUGGUAAUACUUCUGAGAAGAUAUUCAGAAAAUCACGAGCCACCGAUAUGUUACUAAGCUCGAGAACAAUCUUGCUUUUCAGGGCAAGAUGAUAUGAUCAAAUGAGCGAGGACUUGACAAAUCCUAACUCAUCAAUCAAAGAGUGCACCAGGAAAUAAGGACUAGGUAGCACGAUCAAUCUUAGAAUGAUGAUUCAAUAACCAACAUACUAAGAAUAAAAUUAUUAUCCUUUAACUACCAAGCAACGAGGUUGCUAGGAGUAUUGAUUCCACACCUCACAAUUCAUUUGUCGGUAUUCCGGUUGCAUCAACACGGAACCGAGGAAUGAAAAAGGAUGGCGAGAAGUAUCACUAUGUCAAGAAUUCACAAAAGGUGGUGCAAUUCUCAUGAAAUUCCUGUCAUAAAGAAGGUAAUACUUCAGGGUAGAGCAGACCAGAAGCUGGAUUGGCAUUUUGAUCUGCGGAGCACAACUUCUUUGACCCAAUCCUGGAUAUGGGAGAGGUACUGGAGUUUCUUUCUCCUAGUCAUCCUGAAUAGAAUGGCUUGACGGACCACAAGAAUGAUAGGCAUCGAUGAACGAUUGCAUGCAUACCCUUGGUAUCAAUUGAUAGACGAGGGUUAGAAUGCAACUAAAGAGAGCAACUCAAAGGAACAUGCGAUUUUCUGAGUUGUGGAUGCAUGGUUAGCAUGUCGAACGAGUUCCACAUGUUUCUUUCGGAUAACCCAUGCAGAAAAGUAGAACUGGCAGAGUUACAAUGUAGAAUCGAGAACCCAUCGAGAGCACUCUGAUUGUGAUCUUUCGAUCAGCGAGGAACAUCUGCCAUAAGCGGUUCAUAGUAUUUGGAAGAAAGGAAUACCACGAACAUCGAGGACUAUCGCAAAGGUUACUAAUAUCCUAAAGGAACUAGCAAACACUAUCAACAUGAAAUAAGUAGGGUGGAUCUCGGGUUCAAAAACCCAGGAACAGAAUGCCUACUAACUAAUAACAUCACGGGAUGCUUUCGAGAAUAAAAGCCAGAAUCAUCACACUGGGAUCACAAAACAUUGCUAGAUUACUAGGUGACUCGCUAAGACACCUAGGGUCAUAGUAGUAGCUCCAACAUAAUGUCAAGGCAAUAGAAUACCUCAACUCAACAAUUAGUGUGAUUGAGCUGGCAUAAAGGAACAUCGAAACCAGAGGGAAAGGAUUUUGCAAAUGCAUCAGACUAUUUAGAAACCUGGAAUGACUCGGACAGCAUAACGGCUGUAAAUGCUCAGAAAAGAUUUGAGACAUUCACAAAAAUGGUGGCAUAACCACUCAGAAGCACAAUAUCAAGGUCUCGAGAUCAAUAAUUAACAUACGGAAGUAGAAACUGAACUCAAGCUUAAAUCCAACAAUCUUAUAAGUCUACGGAUUAGUAACACGUGAUCCUGAUAGGAAGAAGGGAAAGCCUAGUUCUUAACCCCGUAGGAAAGAUAAGAUGACUCAGAUCAGAAGGCCAUGAGGUAUAAGGAGUAAAAAGAGCCUUACGUUCCAUCCCACAAUCAAUUCCCUUAUAUAACUAAAGAAUUUCUAGACUCAACUUCGACCAGUUUGGCUUGGUAAUCCUACAGGCAGUCAAGCUCUGAUACCAGCGCUGUCAGGACCCCGACUCAAUGCCACAUCGAUCUAGCAUGUAACACCUCAUAUCACUUUGCGGCCUCACGCACGGUAUUCCCACGGGUGUCGCCUUACCUUAGCCCGGGACCGUUUGCGCCUUUUGGCACACGUAUAUGACAGUGUCGCUAGCAUCCAUAUGAUAAGGAGCCCGGGCUGACAUGGCUAGUCGUAAACCCAAAGUGGCACAGACUUACAGGGACAGGCAUCCAUGACCCAGCAUCGAACGUGUCGGUCAUCAGCAAAUGGAUCCAGGAUGUAGCACUGGGCUAGCAGGACUCCGGUGAACCAGGCUGUAGCGGGCUAGCAGGACUCCGGUAUUCAUCGCGUGACAUUUCCCCGAAGGGACAGACACAGGAACGAAGAAGGACACAUGCCGGCCAGCCUAAGUGUUCCGGAGCAGUAGCAAGCUACCAUGGCUCGUUGGAAACACUAGGAGACAUUUCCCGGUAAGAGAGGCUACUAAAGAUAAACAACUAGAUGGUCAGAUCCCACACAUACCAAGCAUUUCAAUAACAUACACACAAUAUGCUCGAUAUGUGCAAACACAACAUGGCAUCACAACAUGACUCUACGACUCAAGUAUUUUAAUCAAUAGGCUCCGAGGAGCGAGAUAUUACAAACAUGGGUCUCACGACCCAACAAUCAGAGCAUACAAGUCAAAGCACAAGCGGAAGCUAUCAUGUCUGAGUACAGACAUCUAUAAAUGAAAAAGGCUGAGAAGCCUGACUAUCUAUCAGAUCCUGCCGAGGGCACAAGAUCGUAGCUGAGGUAUCAAGCUAAACGUCGAAGUCCACGUGGAACUACUAGCGAGACCGAAGUCUCUCUGCAAAAACAUAAAAUAGGCAAACGUGAGUACAAAUGUACCCAGCAAGACUUACAUCAGAACUAUCUACAUAUGCAUCAUUAUCAACAAAGGGGAUGGUAGGGUUUGACUGCAGCAAGCCAGCUUUGACUCGGUGGCUAUCCUGAACUACGACUGCAAGUAACUCUUUUGAAGUGGCGCACACGAGUCCACAUAUUCACCAACCAAUACACCACUAUGGAUCCGCUCCCGUCUCCCUACGAGAACGCCAUCCAUAGCACUCACUCUUAUCUUGCGUAUUUUAGAGUAUCCACUUUCACUUGUCUAUGAACUAUGCAAGGGGUCCACGUUUCCAUAUCCGAGGAAUCCGGCUAUUCGAAUAGAUGAUGUUAACCCUGCAGGGGUGUACUUCUUCACACACGCUCCCGCCACUUACCGCCCUGUACACGUCAUGUACCUCGGCAACCUUCAAGCGGAAACCGGGCGAGGGAGUCGGCCAUGACCUGACUAACCGAACAAGUCUCUAGUCCAGGUUUAUCGCCUAUUCGGGUUCCAUCCGCAAGGAGAUCCGGCCGGGGUGUCGCUCACGGCCCCAAACGAUGUGUGCAGGGUUCCCAAGCCCACCAACCGGGUGCCACUUGGUACACCGUGCCACGGUGCCUAGUCUGUCCCAAGCCCACCUGUACCGGGUGCCACUUGGUAGACUACUAACACUACCUACAAACACCAGAAACUAGUUGCAACUCCUGGACAGAGAUCAUGUUGAUUAAUAAGUCGAGAGGGGCACUUAAGCAUUCCAAUGUGUGGUAGUAGCUGGUCAUGGAUCACAAACACAGAACUAAGUUCCUGAGGACGGCUGCAAUGAGACAACCCACCAUGUACUCCUACAUGGCCUCUCACCGCUACCUUUACCAAAACGUGUUCACACACUUAGCUCACACACAUGGGGACAUGUUCACACGCCUCUGAUUCAUCCCCGAUGAAUCAGACCUGACUCAACUCUAAGCAGUAGCAGGCAUGACAAACACGCAUGAAUGAGUAGGCACAACAGGGCUCAAACAACUCCUACUCAUACUAGUGGGUUUCAUCUAUUUACUGUGGAAUGACAGGUCAUGCAAAGGAUAAAGGGGUUCAGCUACCGGAGCAAGUAACAGAUGAAUCGGUGUUGUCCUAAUGCAGUAAAAGAGAGCAGGAGCGAGAGAGUAGGAUUGUAUCGGAAUGAACAAGGGGGUUUUGCUUGCCUGGCACUUCUGAAGAUAACAUUGAGUCUUCAUCAGUGUCAACGAUCACAUCAUCGGUAUCACGUCUAUCGAGAGGGGACAAAUACCGGCAACACAGAAAGGAACACAAUCAAUGCAAUGCAUAAUAUGAUGCAUGAUCAUGACAUGGCAAAAUGAAUGUGUUUUGAGCUAAUGCAACUAGCAACAGAUUAAAUGAAGUUGGUUUGAAUACAAAAUUCAAAUUCAAACUCCAUAUGUGAUUAUUUAAAUGCCCUUUAUAUGAUUUGUGCUAAACAGCACCUAUAAGUUGUUCUAACAUGCAUGAAAAUGGUACAGAUGGAUUCCUUGAAUUUUUCUGAUAAUUUUUCAUAUAUAAUUUAUUUAAUUUGGAGUUACGGUUAAUUUUCUAUGAUUUUUAGAAGUUUUAGGCAUUUUCUGAAAUUUCAGAAUUAAAUUAAAUCCAGAAAAUGAGUUAUGACAUCAGCACUGCGUCAUGCUUGCAUCAGCAAGUCAACAGGGCUGCCCCGGGUCAAACCUGACCAGGGGGUCCCAUUAGUCAGUGACUUAGGGCUCGUUUAGGUCGCUGGCAGGUGGGCCCAGUCAACGGACACAUCAGCCUGGUCAACUCCGACGUGUGGGGUCGGUCAAAGUGUGACGGGGCCAGGUCAAACUGACCUAUGGGGCCCACAAAAUUAGUACUAAUCUAAACAGAGAGGUUAAACUAAUUAAUUAGGCACGGGGGCCCACUUGGCAGUGGCUCUAGUGGGUGAUUAGCGGGGUGUUUACGCCCUAACCAAGUGGCCACGUCGGAGAGUGACGCCGGCGACCACGGCGACGGCGAGACUUCGCCGGAGUUGCUCGGGACGGCGCUACGGCCCGCGGCUGGUCGCGCUGAGGGCACCAAGAGGAAGCCCGUGCUCCCGCGCAUCUAGGGGGACCCACGAGAGGGCGUGGGGUGGCCGGAGUUGAGCGCGGCAUCGACCCCGGCGGCGGCCGGAGCUCGGGGGUUCGCGGGACCGGCGCUGCGGUGUGCAAACAAGACGGUGGUCGCGCUAGUUUUACUCUACGGGAUGCAACGAGUGCAACGGACGCAGGCGUGGGACCAAAAGGUCACCGGAGCUUCACCGGCGACGAGCCCGUGCGGCGGAGCGUCUCGGCUCCGGCGGAUUUGAUAGCUACGCGGUGCAACCGAGGCAGGGGAGAGAGGGGAAAGAUUCCGGUGCUCACGGUGAACUCGCAGAGCAGACUGGUGGGCUCGGGGAUGGCUUGAUGACGAUGAAUCAACGACGGCGAUCUCGGGCGGCCGGAGAUGGAGAAGACGGCGUGGGCGGCGAUGCAGGGCUCCCGGUGUUGCGUAGCUCCAUGGAGAGGUCGGGGGCGUCGAGGCGGAGCUCCUGGGUGCAUCGGCGAGGCUAGGGGUGCACGGUGGCUGCGGCAAUCGGCGUCGGUGGCGGCGGCUGCGCUCGGCACGAGAGGGAGAGAGAAACAGAGGAGGGGGAGAGCUCGGGAGAGAGUGAGGGGCGGUCGGGGAGGCCGCGUGUCGACGUCCAGGGCGUCCAGAGCGUCGGGGGAGAGCGGUAAGCAGGAGCUGGCGAGGCGCGUGGCCAGCGCGCGGCGGGCACGCGCUCGUCCUCCUGUCCAGGGAGGAAGACGACAGGGAGGCUGUGGUGGUGGGCUGGGCCGGACACUUGGGCCGCCAGGUAAGCCCAGGUGAGAUUCCUUCUCUCUCUCUGCUUUCUGUUUUAUAUUUCUGUUUUUCUAUUUUGUUCUGUUUUGUUUUGGUUUAGUAAAAAUACUAAACCAUUUUAUAAAAUCCUGAAAAUAAUUAUGUGGCUAGAACUAAAAUAUACCAAACCACAUAAAAUGUUCCAGAAUUAUUGGACAUAUAUUAAUUAUAUAUAAAAUAUAAAUCCAAUGCAAUUAGUUAUUGAAUUAAUUCAAAUGGCCAAAACAAAUAUUUCUGUGACUCCAAAAAUAUUGGUUUGAAUUUUACCUCUUGCCAAUAUUUCCAGAGGAUAACAAGAACAUUUUCUUGGACUUAUUUGAAGCAAUUUUUAUCUUGAUCAUUUUUUUUAAAGGAUUCUGAGGCUUUGAAAAUUCCUCAAUUCAAAUUUCAUUUGAAUUUAAACAUGAUGCAGCAACCAAGCUAGUCCAAGGCCAGGGUAAAGCUAGGGAUGUGACAUACGGUAUCCAGGAGUUACACGAUCUCAUGGUCGAAGGAAGAGAUACUUGACAUUGGAAAAGCUCUAGCAAACGAACUAACCGACCUUUGUGCUAUGCUUAGGAUUGGGUCUUGUCCAUCACAUCAUUCUCCUAAUGUUGUGAUCCCGUUAUCAACGACAUCGAAUGUCCAUAGCCAGGAAACCAUGACUAUCUGUUGAUCACAACGAGCUAGUCAACUAGAGGCUUACUAGGGACAUAUUGUGGUCUAUGUAUUCACACGUGUAUUACGAUUUCCGGAUAAUACAGUUAUGGCAUGAAUAAAAGACUAUUAUCAUGAACAAAGAAAUAUAAUAAUAACACUUUUAUUAUUUCCUCUAGGGCAUAUUUCCAACAGUCUCCUACUUGCACUAGAGUCACUAAUCUAGUUACAUUGUGAUGAAUCGAACACCCAUAGAGUUCUGGUGUUGAUCAUGUUUUGCUCGCGAGAGAGGUUUAGUCAACGGAUCUGCGACAUUCAGAUCCGUAUGUACUUUGCAAAUUUCUAUGUCUCCAUCUUGAACAUUUUCAUGGAUGGAGUUGAAACGACGCUUGAUGUGCCUGGUCUUCUUGUGAAACCUGGGCUCCUUGGCAAGGGCAAUAGCUCCAGUGUUGUCACAGAAGAGUUUGAUUGGCCCCGACGCAUUGAGUAUGACUCCUAGGUCGGCGAUGAACUCCUUCACCCAAAUAGCUUCAUGCGCUGCCUCCGAGGCUGCCAUGUACUCCGCUUCACAUGUAGAUCCCGCCACGACACUCUGCUUGCAGCUGCACCAGCUUACUGCUCCACCAUUCAACAUAUACACGUAUCCGGUUUGUGACUUAGAGUCAUCCAGAUCUGUGUCGAAGCUAGCGUCGACGUAACCCUUUACGACGAGCUCUUCGUCACCUCCAUAAACGAGAAACAUGUCCUUUGUCCUUUUCAGGUACUUCAGGAUAUUCUUGACCACUGUCCAGUGUUCCUUGCCGGGAUUACUCUGGUAUCUUGCUACCAAACUUACGGCAAGUUUUACAUCAGGUCUGGUACACAGCAUGGCAUACAUAAUAGAUCCUAUGGCUGAAGCAUCGGGGAUGACACUCAUCUCUUCUUUAUCUUUUGCCGUGGUCGGUGACUGAGCUGAGCUCAAUCUCACACCUUGUAACAUAGGCAAGAACCCUUUCUUGGACUCAUCCAUUUUGAACUUUUUCAAAAUCUUAUCAAGAUAUGUGCUUUGUGAAAGACCUAUGAGGCGUCUCGAUCUAUCUCUAUAGAUCUUGAUGCCUAAUAUAUAAGCAGCUUCUCCAAGGUCCUUCAUUGAAAAACAUUUGUUCAAGUAGGCCUUAAUGCUGUCCAGAAAUUCUAUAUUAUUUCCCAUCAAGAGUAUGUCAUCUACAUAUAAUAUGAGAAAUGCUACAGAGCUCCCACUCACUUUCUUGUAAACGCAGGCUUCUCCAUAAGUCUGCAUAAACCCAAACGCUUUGAUCAUCUCAUCAAAGCGAAUAUUCCAACUCCGAGAUGCUUGCACCAGCCCAUAAAUGGAUCGCUGGAGCUUGCAUACUUUGUUAGCGUUCUUAGGAUCGACAAAACCUUCCGGCUGCAUCAUAUACAGCUCUUCCUUAAGAUGCCCGUUAAGGAAUGCCGUUUUGACGUCCAUCUGCCAUAUCUCAUAAUCAUAGUAUGCGGCAAUUGCUAACAUGAUUCAGACGGACUUAAGCUUCGCUACGGGAGAGAAUGUCUCGUCGUAGUCAAUCCCUUGAACUUGUCGAUAACCCUUAGCGACAAGUCGAGCUUUAUAGAUGGUGACAUUACCAUCCGUGUCCGUCUUCUUCUUAAAGAUCCAUUUGUUUUCUAUCGCUUGCCGAUCAUCGGGCAAGUCAGUCAAAGUCCAUACUUUGUUUUCAUACAUGGAUUCUAUCUCGGAUUUCAUGGCUUCUAGCCAUUUGUUGGAAUCUGGGCCCGCCAUCGCUUCUUCAUAGUUCGAAGGUUCACCGUUGUCUAACAACAUGAUUUCCAGGACAGGGUUGCCGUACCACUCUGGUGCGGAACGUGUCCUUGUGGACCUACGAAGUUCAGUAGCAACUUGAUCCAAAGUACCUUGAUCAUCAUCAUUAGUUUCCUCUUUAGUUGGUGUGGGCAUCACAGGAACAUUUUCCUGAGCUGCACCACUUUCCCGUUCGAGAGGUAGUACUUCAUCGAGUUCUACUUUCCUCCCACUUACUUCUUUCGAGAGAAACUCUUUUUCCAGAAAGCAUCCGUUCUUGGCAACAAAGAUCUUGCCCUCGGAUCUUAAGUAGAAGGUAUACCCUACAGUUUCCUUAGGGUAUCCUAUGAAGACGCAUUUUUCCGACUUGGGUUCGAGCUUUUCAGGUUGAAGUUUCUUGACAUAAGCAUCGCAUCCCCAAACUUUUAGAAACGAUAGCUUAGGUUUCUUCCCAAACCAUAAUUCAUACGGUGUCGUCUCAACGGAUUUAGACGGUGCCCUAUUUAAAGUGAAUGUAGCUGUCUCUAGAGCGUAUCCCCAAAAUCAUAGCGGUAAAUCGGUAAGAGACAUCAUAGACCGCACCAUAUCCAAUAGAGUGCGAUUACGACGUUCGGACACACCGUUUCGCUGAGGUGUUCCAGGCGGCGUGAGUUGUGAAACGAUUCCACAUUUCCUUAAGUGUGUGCCAAAUUCGUGACUUAAAUAUUCUCCUCCACGAUCUGAUCGUAGGAAUUUUAUCUUUCGGUCACGUUGAUUCUCCACCUCAUUCUGAAAUUCCUUGAACUUUUCAAAGGUCUCAGAUUUGUGUUUCAGUAAGUAGACAUACCCAUAUCUACUUAAGUCAUCAGUGAGAGUGAGAACAUAACGAUAUCCUCCGCGAGCCUCAACGCUCAUUGGACCGCACACAUCGGUAUGUAUGAUUUCCAACAAGUUGGUUGCUCGCUCCAUUGUUUCGGAGAACGGAGUCUUGGUCAUUUUUCCCAUGAGGCAUGGUUCGCAUGUGUCAAAUGAUUCAUAAUCAAGAGACUCCAAAAGUCCAUCAGCAUGGAGCUUCUUCAUGCGCUUCACACCAAUGUGACCAAGGCGGCAGUGCCACAAGUAUGUGGGACUAUCGUUAUCAACUUUACAUCUUUUGGCAUCUACACUAUGAACAUGUGUAAUAUUACGCUCGAGAUUCAUUAAGAAUAAACCAUUGACCAUCGGAGCAUGACCAUAAAACAUAUCUCUCAUAUAAAUCGAACAACCAUUAUUCUCAUACUUAAAUGAGUAGCCAUCUCGUAUUAAACGAGAUCCAGAUACAAUGUUCAUGCUCAAACUUGGCACUAAAUAACAAUUAUUAAGGUUCAAAACUAAUCCCGUAGGUAAAUGUAGAGGCAGCGUGCCGACGGCGAUCACAUCGACUCUGGAACCAUUCCCGACGCGCAUCGUCACCUCGUCCUUCGCCAGUCUCUGUUUAUUCCGCAGCUCCUGCUGUGAGUUACAAAUAUGAGCAACGACACCGGUAUCAAAUACCCAGGAGUUACUACGAGUACUGGUAAGGUACACAUCAAUUACAUGUAUAUCAAAUAUACCUUUGGUGUUGCCGGCCUUCUUAUCCGCUAAGUAUUUGGGGCAGUUCCGCUUCGAGUGACCCUUCCCCUUGCAAUAAAAGCACUCAGUCUCAGGCUUGGGUCCAUUCUUUGACUUCUUCCCGGCAACUGGCUUACCGGGCGCGGCAACCUCUUUGCCGUCCUUCUUGAAGUUCUUUUUACCCUUGCCCUUCUUGAACUUAGUGGUCUUAUUGACCAUCAACACUUGAUGUUCUUUGUUGAUUUCAACCUCUGCUGACUUCAGCAUAGAAAAUACUUCAGGAAUGGUCUUUACCAUCCCCUGCAUAUUGUAGUUCAUCACAAAGCUCUUGUAGCUUGGUGGGAGCGACUGAAGGAUUCUGUCAAUGACUGCCUCAUCAGGGGGGUUAAUAUUCAGCUGGGUCAUAUGGUUGUGCAACCCAGACAUCUUGAGUAUGUGCUCACUGACAGAACUAUUUUCCUCCAUCUUACAACUAUAGAACUUGUCGGAGAUGUCAUAUCUCUCGACCCGGGCGUGAGCUUGAAAAACUAGUUUCAGCUCUUCGAAUAUCUCAUAUGCUCCGUGAUGCUCAAAACGCUUUUGGAGCCCCGGUUCUAAGCUGUAAAGCAUGCCGCACUGAACGAGGGAGUAAUCAUCAGCACGAGACUGCCAAGCAUUCAUAAUGUCUUGGUUCUCUGGGACGGGAGCGUCACCUAGCGGUCCUUCUAGGACAUAUUGUUUCCUGGCAGCUAUGAGGAUGAUCCUCAGGUUUCGGACCCAGUCCGUAUAGUUGCUGCCAUCAUCUUUCAGCUUGGUUUUCUCUAGGAACACGUUGAAGUUCAUGUUGACAUGAGCGUUGGCCAUUUGAUCUACAAGACAUAUUUGCAAAGGUUUUAGACUAAGUUCAUGAUAAUUAAGUUCUAAUCAAAUUAUGAACUCCCACUUAGAUUAGACAUCCCUCUAGUCAUCUAAGUGUUACACGAUCCGAGUCGACUAGCCCGUGUCCGACCAUCACGUGAGACGGACUAGUCAUCGUCGGUGAACAUCUUCAUGUUGAUCGUAUCUUCCAUACGACUCGUGUUCGACCUUUCGGUCUCCGUGUUCCGAGGCCAUGUCUGCACAUGCUAGGCUCGUCAAGUUAACCCUAAGUGUUUUCGCUGUGUAAAACUGUCUUACACCCGUUGUAUGUGAACGUAAGAAUCCAUCACACCCGAUCAUCACGUGGUGCUUAGAAGCGACGAACUGUAGCAACGGUGCACAGUUAGGGGAGAACACUUCUUGAAAUUUUGUAAGGGAUCAUCUUAUUUACUACCGUCGUCCUAAGUAAACAAGAUGCAUAAAACAUAAUAAACAUCACAUGCAAUUAUAUAAAGUAGUGACAUGAUAUGGCCAAUAUCAUAUAGCUCCUUUGAUCUCCAUCUUCGGGGCUCCAUGAUCAUCUUGUCACCGGCAUGACACCAUGAUCUCCAUCAUCAUGAUCUCCAUCAUCGUGUCUUCAUGAAGUUGUCAUGCCAACGACUACUUCUACUUCUAUGACUAACGCGUUUAGCAAUAAAGUAAAGUAAGUUACAUGGCGUUCUUCAAUGACACGCAGGUCAUACAAAAAUAAAGACAACUCCUAUGGCUCCUGCCGGUUGUCAUACUCAUCGACAUGCAAGUCGUGAAUCCUAUUACAAGAACAUGAUCUCAUACAUCACAAUUCAUCAUUCAUCACAACUUCUGGCCAUAUCACAUCACAUGAUCAAUCGCUGCAAAAACAAGUUAGACGUCCUCUAAUUGUUGUUGCAUCUUUUACGUGGCUGCAAUUGGGUUCUAGCAAGAAUGUUUUCUUACCUACGAAUAACCACAACGUGAUUUUGUCAACUUCUAUUUACCCUUCAUAAGGGCCCUUUUCAUCGAAUCCGCUCCAACUAAAGUGGGAGAGACAGACACCCGCCAGCCACCUUAUGCAACUAGUGCAUGUUAAUCGGUGGAACCGGUCUCACGUAAGCGUACGUGUAAGGUUGGUCCGGGCCGCUUCAUCCCACAAUACCGCUGAAGCAAGAAAAGACUAGUAGAGGCAAGCAAGUUGACAAGAUCCACGCCCACAACAAAAUUGUGUUCUACUCGUGCAAAGAGAACUACGCAUAGACCUAGCUCAUGAUGCCACUGUUGGGGAACGUUGCAGAAAAUUAAAAUUUUUCCUACGGUUUCACCAAGAUCCAUCUAUGAGUUCAUCUAAGCAACGAGUCAAGGGAGAGAGUUUGCAUCUACAUACCACUUGUAGAUCACGAGCGGAAGCUUGUCAAGGGGAUGGUGAUGAUGGAGUCGUACUCGAACGUGAUUCGGAUCACCGAUGUCCAAGUGCUGAACGGACAGCACCUCCGCGUUCAACACACGUACGGGACGGGAGACGUCUCCUCCGUCUUGAUCCAGCAAGGAGGAAGGAGAGGUUGAGGAAGGCAGCUCCAACGGCAGCACGACAGCGUGGUGUAGUUGGUGCAGCAGUACUCCGACAGAGCUUCGCCAAGCACGUACGGAGGAGGAGAGGUGUUGGGGAGGGGAGGGGCUGCGCCUUGAGUUUUGGUGUGUUGCAGCCCUCCCCUCACCCCUCUAUAUAUAGGGGAAGGGGCAAGGGGGGCCGGCCCUCUAGGGAAAACCCUAGGGGGGGCGGCGGCCAAGGGGUGGGGGGCUUGCCCCCCAAGCAAGGGGGGUGCGCCCCCUUUAGGGUUUCCCCCCCAACCCUAGGCGCAUGGGCCCAAGGGGGGGGGGGCGCCAAGCCCACUAGGGGCUGGCUGCUACCCCUAUGCAGCCCAAGUGGCCCCCCGGGAGGGGUGGUCCCUCCCGGUGGACCCCCGAACCUUUUCGGUGGUCCCGGUACAAUACCGGUAUGACCCCGAAACUUUCCGGUGCCCGUUUAACAACUUCCCAUAUAUAAAACUUUACCUCCAGACCAUUCCGGAACUCCUCGUGACGUCCGGGAUCUCAUCCGGGACUCCGAACAACAUCCGGUAAUCACAUACUUGUCUUCCUAAUAACCCUAGCAUCACCGAACCUUAAGUGUGUAGACCCUACGGGUUCGGGAGACAUGCAGACAUGACCGAGACUCUCCGGUCAAUAACCAAUAGCGGGAUCUGGAUACCCAUGUUGGCUCCCACAUGCUCCUCGAUGAAGUCAUCGGAUGAACCACGAUGUCGAGGAUUCGAUCAAACCCCAUAUACAAUUCCCUUUGUCAAUCGGUACGUUACUUGCCCGAGACUCGAUCGUCGGUAUCCCAAUACCUUGUUCAGUCUCGUUACCGGCAAGUCACUUUACUCGUACCGUAAUGCAUGAUCCCGUGGCCAACACCUUGGUCACCUUGAGCUCAUUAUGAUGAUGCAUUACCGAGUGGGCCCAGAGAUACCUCUCCGUCAUACGGAGUGACAAAUCCCAGUCUCGAUCCAUGUCAACCCAAUAGACACUUUCGGAGAUACCUGUAGUGCACCUUUAUAGUCACCCAGUUACGUUGUGACGUUUGAUACACCCAAAGCAUUCCUACGGUAUCCAGGAGUUACACGAUCUCAUGGUCGAAGGAAGAGAUACUUGACAUUGGAAAAGCUCUAGCAAACGAACUAACCGACCUUUGUGCUAUGCUUAGGAUUGGGUCUUGUCCAUCACAUCAUUCUCCUAAUGUUGUGAUCCCGUUAUCAACGACAUCCAAUGUCCAUAGCCAGGAAACCAUGACUAUCUGUUGAUCACAACGAGCUAGUCAACUAGAGGCUUACUAGGGACAUAUUGUGGUCUAUGUAUUCACACGUGUAUUACGAUUUCCGGAUAAUACAGUUAUAGCAUGAAUAAAAGACUAUUAUCAUGAACAAAGAAAUAUAAUAAUAACACUUUUAUUAUUGCCUCUAGGGCAUAUUUCCAACAAUUCCUAGUCUUGCAUUUAAUACUAGCUUAGUUGUUGUAUGAUGGUCUUGUUUUUCUGGUCAUGGGCAUAGUUAAGUGUGACAAUGAUGCUGAGAACAUUUGAGGUAACGAUGUUGGAAGAACACUCAUAUUGCCAUGACCCAAGUUGUAUCUUUUACUAAGAGAUGAUAUUGUCACAAGUCUAUAGUCCAUGAAACGGGAAGUUAACAUAUGCACAAUUCGUUAGACCAUGAGAGUAUAGAGUCACUCCAUACCGGAUGAUGCACUUUGGGGUUAUUCUGAUGUCAGUUGUAACAGGGUGAUCAUAACAGCAUCUUGCAUGUUCAUCGGAAACAUAUGAUGGGGAACUAGAUAGAUCGAGACUCGGAUUUUGUUCCUGUGACGAUGGAGAGAUUUUUUUAGGGGCCUUCGGUGUGACGACAUCUAUCAUCAUCAGGUAUAGUGAGAAUGUAUUUGACUCACGGGGAUACUGAUAUAUAUCACCUCAGGUUUUGUAAAUUAUCGCAAAGCAAAAUGAAUAUCAUAUGGUAGCUACAGGUCCAGUCGAUAAACAUUUGUGUGAGUAUAGGGGUCAAUAUGGAUGUCCAUAGUUCCGCUAUUGAUCAUUGGUCGAAAGUUUUUUCGGUCAUGUAUGUGUUUCACCAAACCUACAAGCUCACAUACUUAAGAACCUUUGAUUUGUUGAGUUCUAAUUGAGUUGGGAGUAUUGGAGUAUAUCACCAAAAAAAUUUCGGAGAUAACGGAAAUUAUUGUGCGAGAGAACCAGAAGUGUUUCGGGGAAAUCAGAAGCAGUUCAGAGAAAACCAAAUAAAACUGGAUAGGUGUGAAAGAUCUGGAGGAUGUAAUACUAGUAUAUGAGGGUUCCAGUAUUUAUAUGGAGCCCCUCAGGAUUAUUCUAGGCACCGUGGGCUGCCCAAAUAGACUAAAGCCUAUUAGGGCGCAGCCACAUAGGCCUAAAGGCCCAUAUAUGUGGUGCCCCCCAAGCUAGAGGGUGGUGGGGCGGCACCCCCUUGGCCGUCGCCACAAGGGGAAGCCCCCUCCUCCAACUUGGCCUCGCCCCUCCACCUAUAUAUACCCAUGGGGCGCCCCCUACUGAGACACAAGUUCUCUCGCGAUCUGCGGUGUCCCCCUCUCUAGUUCUCCACCAUAGCUCUUCUCGCGAAGGGCUGCUCCUCCCUCCUUUUCUAUUCUGGCAUCAUCAAGCCCCAGACGAGGAAGCACUGCCAGAUCUCUGGUGUUGAACAUGUGCAAUGCACAGAGGGGCCGUACGUCCGGUUCUUGUUUGAGGGAUCUGUUCGUGAGACUUCAAGAACACGAUCUUCACAAACUCUUUUUCCGUUGCAACUUGUUGUUGGUAAAGAUCUAACCUUGUAUGUAUGUCUUCAUAGUGAUCCUAGUUUUGUUUCAUAGGACAUUUUUUUCUAUACUACGAUGCCCAACAAUAUGAGGACCAUGCUACAAUGCCUUUUUUGGCCAAAAUCAUAAUUAUUGGAAGUUAUUAUGGCAAAUCUGCUAGAGUUGCUCUUAGACGUGCCUCGUAAGUCUCUCAUGUGCUUAGACCUGUGGAGGUAGUAAUCGACAUGUAUGGUCACACAAGUUUUCCCACUACACAAUCACAUUGUGGGCCCCACGUAGGACGUACAUUUUCUAUUUUUUGUGAAAUUUUCCAAAAUUCUAUAAUUUCAAAAUUUUGAAAUAUUUUUUGAAGUUCAAAAUUUUGUAAGUUCAAAGUAUUCUAAAAGAUCAAAUUUUGAAAGUGAAACGUUUGAAAAUUAUUUAAAAAAAUUCAAAUUACGAUUGUCAAAAUUUUGGAAGUUGAAAGACUUGGAGCAGUCGCGACGUCCAUGAUCGAGCUCGGCUGUUGGUCGUCCGCCUCUUGCACGCAACUCCAACGCACAUCCGCUCUGGUGCUCACCUCCACGUCGAUCGUCGGCUCCACGCUACCUUGCAUGUGAUUCGAACCGCCGCGUCAUCGGUGGAAGCACCUCGCGACACCAAUGGCCACUACGCCAGAUCAUGCGCCAGCUCCACCACAUCCCGCAUGGCACGGCAUGGAAAAAAAUCUUACCAUCGCAAGAGUUUUGCCUGACUAUGUCCUACAGGGACGACAAGAGAGGAAUGAAGGAGCCGGUUGUACGGGUGAGUUGCUAGUUUGGGGCGCCAAAUUAGGGUAUCUUUUCUCAAAACGAGGGAAAUAGAAAUACGAAGGAUUUUACUGACAUGUCCUCUUGAAUCCUACAGGAUUAGAAAACUACAGGAAUUCAGAUAAAAGAGUGUUUGAUGAAGUGAGGCGUUUUGGAGGCCGAGCUCCAUGCAGCCUUUUAUUUUUGAAUCUAUUUUUCAAAAAAUUGAACUUUUCGGUUUUAAAAAAAUCUGGAAAAUUUUAUGCAAGUAUACAAAGAUGAAAUGUAUAUGUGUGUAAAAAUUCAGAAUGAAAAACCUUGAGAUGCGACCUGUGCAGAAAAUACAAAUUUGUUGUCUUUGAGGAUUAAUAGUAUCAUGUGUUGAAAAACCUCAUAUUUGUUUGUUUUACAGAGGCCUCAUUUCAACAUAUUUUGUCCUGAAAAUUUACACACAUGUAUAUUAUGCCUUCAUGUCUAUGUGUGUUUUUUCAUAAUUUUUAAAAUCUAGAAAUAUGAAUUUUGAUGAAAUUUCAGAAAUGCUUUUGGAGGCCUGCAUGGAGCUCGGCCUCCAAAAGGCAUUUUUGUGUUUGAUAUCACUAUAAAGAAAAUGAAUUAUACACAGAGAUUUGAGUGGAUGCACUUUUUUCUCCAAAAUAAAGUGCAAAUGAAUUCUAAGAAAACUUGCUAACAUUUCAAUAUACUAUGAAUCAAACAGCCAACACAGAAAAAAAAAUCCCUACGAUCUAAAUUCUCUAAAAAUCCUACAAAACUCUUUUGGAUCAAACCCCCAGCUCAGCCUGUCAUAUGCUUCGUGUACUUACUUUCGUUGUCGUCACAUGUCGACACUUUCGAUCUGCUAAGCAAUACCACUUUUGCAAACGAAAAGAAGAGCGAUCACAUGUUUUUGGGGAAGUGUCUUCUUCACUCUAGUAGGCAGCCACCUGUCGGCCCACUCAUGCGAGCACACGUAGCGCCCUGCCCGGCGAUUUGUCCAUCUGACCACCCCUCUUUAUGGGCUAGUCGGCACUCACCUGCCCAUCCACUCACGAGAGCACACCUGGAGCUUCGUCCACCCUCGAACGGCCUAUAAAUAGUGCCUCGUGCUGCACCUGCUUUACACAACCACUUGCUUCACACAACCAAGACAAGUAAACAGCAGCACUAGUAGAUUUCCCGAGUGACAAGUUCAGCGCAACAUGGAGCACCAGGGACACGGCACCGGCGAGAAGAAGGGCAUCAUGGAGAACAUCAAGGAGAAGCUCCCCGGUGGCCAAGGUGACCACCAGCAGACCGCUGGCACCCACGGGCAGCAUGGACACACUGGAAUGACAGGCACGGAGAUGCAUGACACCACGGCCACCGGCGGCACCCAUGGGCAGCAGGGGCUUACCGGAACGACUGGCACUGGGACACACGGCACCGGUGAGAAGAAGAGCCUCAUGGACAAGGUGAAGGAGAAGCUGCCUGGACAGCACUAAGCUCGGUCUGUCCACGGCCGCCACCUUUGCAGAAUAAUACUCCACCGUAUAUGAAUUGAUCUGAGUCUAGUUCACCUAGCUCACUUGGUCGUUGGAGGAGCAAAUAUAUCUCUGGUUUAAGUUUUCACGGACAACAGUGUGUUCACAGUUUUCGUCUAUUUACACUCCGUCAUGCAAAUUUCCUUUUUGUUCCUUUUCUUUUGUCCAUCUUAUUAUCCGACAGGCUUUUGUAACUUAAUAUAAGACGUCUUUUGACAAUAUGACUGUCAAAGAAGUCCUAUGUUAAGUUACAGAGGGAGUACUUCGGAGCGGUAAAAGAAAUGAUAGCUUUGUGUUGCACUGUUGCAGGACUUUCCUAGUGGCAUAACAGAUUUCGAACUCUUCUUUAGAAUAACCCCUUCUCCAUUCCUCGAAACAAGCCUGUGAUCAGGUUCAGUUUUACAACGUUCAAAACAAAACAAGCACACUCUUGUCUUAGCUUUGAUGCAAAACAUAGUUUGUUCUUCUCGGUGAUGCUGAUUCCUUGUAAGAUCUGUAUGCUCUGAGAGUAGACAGUGCACACACUCCCUGAAGGUGCUGUUGUGUGUGGAUAGGAACUGGGACGUGGAGAUAGGGUCGGCUGCGUUGCGCUUGAAUCAUACAGCCUUCGAUAACUGACAUGGCUAGAAGUCACGUGCAAGAGUAGGAUGAAAAAAGUGCCUAUAAAUUGUUUCAGAUUUUUUUUGUGGUGCCUUGUUUAUUUAUUUAGAAAGCAAAUCAUAUGCUGCUCUGCUAUGAGAUUAUUGCAUGAACAGAUAAACCUAUCUUUUAUUUUGAAGUUUAUAUGUAUGUAUGGUGGCAGCCUUUUAAGUUUUCGGUGGAGACCAGAUCAUUGAGAUCGAUAUUUUUUCCUCCUUUUGGGUGAUCUCUUCUUGCUUCUGCUUUGGCUAACUAGCAUUCAUCCACUGUGAAUCCCCAACCUGCAUUUAAAUACUGCACUGAAACCGUCUAUGGUCUGGCAGAUCAAGUUUGUUCGACCUCACAUAUGAAUUCUGUUUUCUACAGUGUAUAAAUAUACCUUGUAUGGUUCAGAUUUUUUAAUAUGCAAAACAAUAUAUGGAAUUAUAGCCCCUCUCAUGACUGUAAGAUAUAUAUUCGUUGAUCAUUUGUAUGAAGGAAANNNNNNNNNNNNNNNNNNNNNNNNNNNNNNNNNNNNNNNNNNNNNNNNNNNNNNNNNNNNNNNNNNNNNNNNNNNNNNNNNNNNNNNNNNNNNNNNNNNNNNNNNNNNNNNNNNNNNNNNNNNNNNNNNNNNNNNNNNNNNNNNNNNNNNNNNNNNNNNNNNNNNNNNNNNNNNNNNNNNNNNNNNNNNNNNNNNNNNNNNNNNNNNNNNNNNNNNNNNNNNNNNNNNNNNNNNNNNNNNNNNNNNNNNNNNNNNNNNNNNNNNNNNNNNNNNNNNNNNNNNNNNNNUUAGGAAUUUGUGUGAAUCUUACGUUGACUGGAUAAUGCAAAUUCCACUAGUGCUCUUCUAAUUCACAUGGUUACAUGCUUCGACAGCCCUCCUAUCCAAACAGAAAACAAAGUGAGUGGCUAAUUGCAAGUCACCUGAAAACUUAAACUGGGCCAUCAGCUGAUUUGGCAGGAUUUUGAGCCGUUGGAUAGAAAAUGAACGGUUCAGCUCACGUCUUCUUCCUCCAACUGCUCUUCUUCCUAGAAAACGGAUCACUAUCUCCCCCUCCCCUCUUUUUUUUUUUGGAAAAAGUGGUCAUCCCCGGCCUCUGCAUCGGAAAGAUGCAUGCGGCCACUUUAUUAAAAAGCCGACAGUAACAAAGUCUGAUCUGCAUAGUACUGCCCACAAAAGGAACAAAGCAAAAAUAAAGAGUACAAGUCUCAAAGCCACAUCCGGCUGGACGAGGAUACACCAAGGACCUAUCCUAUGUAGUGAUCGCCAUCCAAACCGGUUGAAAAAAAUCCGUGCUGCCAUCUCCCAUCGGUUGCACCCAGUAGCCAGCUGCUCCCGGGAGGCCGUAGGAGUGAGUAAUGACCACAUACGGAUCCAUGCCGUAGCCUGGAAUAUGACCUGCAAAAAAUUAAUCAUAAGUUUUCUGUUAAAAAUCACCGUUCGAGCAGUGAUCCCCCCUCCCCCCUGCCGCCUACUACCACCGUUCGAGCUGCCGCCCUCGGCCGAGGUGCUCCGGCGCCAGCCUCGUCCCCCUCCCCAACCACCGCCCUCUGCCAAUCUCUAAUUCCGGCGCUGACCUUUUUCCGGCAAACUUGCACCACCCCUAAGAUAGAUAUGGGAGUCUUAUCUGGCGAGCUCCUCCCUUCCCUCCAACUGUUCCUUUCUUCACAUGAAAAUCGACUAGCCCAAAUUCCAAAUUUAGGCGACUUACAUACAACUAUUGUGGAAAACAAUAUAUGUUUACACUAGGAAUGGUUUCCCUAGUUUUGUUAUUUUUCAAACCUUUUAUUAAUAAUAUGGCCGCAUGCAUCUUUCAGAUGCAGAGGCGGGGGUGAGCCUCCCUUUUCCAAAAAAAAGAGGAAUCGUUUCCCUUGUAACCAUUAUUAUGGUCUGUGCACAGUAAUAUACAAGGUGAUCUUAUUAUAGGUGGAGUCUACAUGGUUUCCCCCACAAAAGAAGGAGAGUCUACAUGGUUUCCAAACAGGACCAUAGUGCUGGCAAACGUGGAAUAGAAAACGAAUGAUUGUAGUCACAUCUCCUGAAUCCAACGAAUUAGAAAACUACAUGAAUUUGAUUGAAAGAGUGUUUGAUAUAUCCCUAUAAAAGCGAAGGAAUUCUAUAAUGAGAUUUCGUGGGUGCACACUUUUCUCUAGAAUAAAGUGCAAAUGAAUUCUAAGGAAAACUACCGGGCAUUUCACUCAUCUGAAUCAAACAACCAAUAUAGAAAAUUUUCCCAUGAUAUAAAUACUCUAAAAAAAUAUAAAAUUCUUUUGAAUCAAAACCUCAGCCUCUACUACGUAAUAAUAUGGUUGUGUGCACAUAGCUCGAUGCAAAACUGAGGCUUGCUCCCCAUUGCAAGAAAAAAAAAGUCUUACCCUCUUUUAUGCUUCGUCAAGUUACUUUCGUUGUCGUCACACGCCAACACUUUCAAUCUACACUCACCGUCCCAUAAUAUAAGAGCAUUUUGAGACGGAGAGACGGAGAGACGGAGGGAGUAAUAACGUUCUUAUAGGAGUAUUAUAAAUGGAGGGAGUAUCAUCUUCAUAAGCAAACAAUACCAUUUUCGCAAGAGAAAAGAAGGAUGGGAUGAUGAUUUUGGAGAAUCAUCUUCUUCCCGGACGAGGACGAGUGAGCUGGGACGUGGCGACCGGGACGCGCCAACUGCAUGCCCAUCAGAGGCCCGGCUCCUCUAGUCGGCAGCCACUGACGCGACCACACGUAGCGCCCAGCCGCGGCGAUUCGUCCAUCUGACCACCCUCUUUAUGGGCUAGUCGGCACUCACCUGCCCGUCCACACGCGAGCGCAUUCUGUGCAGCUUGGUCAUUUUUAUGUUUGGUUUCUCUGCGGCCUUCUUCUCAAAUGUAGAAUUGUGUGCUUCCUUGCGGUUUAGAGUUGCGCAUUUGCUCGUUGAUAAAUCAUGUAGCCUCAUUCUGAAUGUUGGGACAAAACUGUAACGUUAUGUGUGUGUAACGCAACCAUUAUUUUCAAGCGUGUGCGAUGGAAGUAAUGCUUUGAAAAGAAGUAUAUACUUGUCUGAAUGUUUGUUCUUGUCCUCCCUUGCAAAGAUGGUAGCGCCAUACUCUGCCAUGUUACCACUAGCUAGAGCGCGAAGAACUUGCAGGAACACGAUUUACUGAAGACAUUUCGAAAUGUCUUGGCCACAGGGGUGCGUUAUCGCGUGAUGUUUGCGUCCGGGAUGUCAAAUAACAACAAGGUAAGACGGCAUUAGGAGAAAAUGAAGAUUUCACCCGGCCGAGACGACCAAACGUAUCUCCGCACCCCAUCAUUCUGAUUCUGAAUCGUUAGUGUUAGCAGCCCUGGCUCCAUUACUCGAAAGAAGCCUGUGAUCACGUUCAAUUUUACAACGUUGUAUGAAAACAAAAGAAGCGCUCCGCAGCAAGAAAGUGCUCUUUUUUAUCCCGAGCUCACAUGCUCCCCGAUGAACAAUACAAUCCGAAAAAUUAAUAAAUUAAAUUCAAAAAAUUCUGAAUUUCUUUUUGUGAUAAGCAUUGAUGGAAGUUUUAACAUCCUGCAAAUUUUCGUGAUGAGGUACGCUGGAGGCAGCCCUUUCAGUUUUCAGUGGAGAACAGAUCAUUGAGAUCGAUUUUCUCCCCACUUUUGGGUGAUCUGUUCUUACUUCUGCUUUGGCUCACUAGCAUGCAUCUAAUGGAAUCCCCAACCUGCAUUUAAAUACUGCACUGAAACUAUCUAUAGCUUAGCAAAUCAAGUUUGUUUGAUGCAAAAAUUCUGAGGAUGUUACUCUCUGCUAUUGUCUUUGCAAAUUGCCUGCUUCACAGUUUUGAUUUCAUUGUGGUUGUGAUUCUUUACUGCUAAAAUACGAGGGAUAGUAGUGACAUGUCCUGAAUCCUAUGAAUUAUAAAACUACAUGAAUUCAAAUGAAAGAGUGUUUGAUAUAUCCCUACAAAAGCAAUGGAAUUCUGCAUAGAGAUUUUAGUGGAUGCGCGUUUUUCUCCAAAAUGAAGUGCAAAUGAAUUCCAAGGAAAAUCACCAAGCAUUUCAGUCCUAUGAAUGAAAUAGGCAACAUAGAAAAAUCCCUAGGAUCUAAAUCAGUCAAAAAAUCCUACUGUAUAAAAUCAUUUUGAAUCAAAGCCCUUAACCUCUCGUAUGCUUCGUCUAGUUACUCUCGUAGCCUCAUUGUCGUUAUAUGCCGACACUUUCGAUCUUCAUCCUCUUAAGCAAACAAUUCAUUUUCUUUUGCAAGAGAAAAGAAGGGUCAGAUGUUUUUGGGGAAUCAUCUUCUUCCCGGACGAGGACGAAUGAGCUGGGACGCGCCGACCGGGACGAAUGAGACGGACGUGGCGACCGGGACGCGCCGACUGGCUUGAGAGGCCCGGCUCCUCUAGUCGGCAGCCACCUGCCGACCCACUGACGCGACCACACGUAGCGCCCUGCCGCGGCGAUUCGUCCAUCUGACCAGUGACCACCCCUCAUUAUGGGCUAGUCGGCACUCACCUGCCCAUCGACUCACGAGAGAACACGUCGUGCUUCGUCUAUCCUCUAACGGCCUAUAAAUAGUGCCUCAUGCAGCACCUGCUUCACACAACCACCUGCUCCAAGUGAACAACACCACUAGUAGAUUUCCCGAGUGACAAGUUCGGCGCUGGAUGGAGCACCAGGGACACGGCACCGGCGAGAAGAAGAGCAUCAUGAGCAAGAUCAAGGAGAAGCUCUCCAGCAGCCACGGUGAUCACCAGCCGGCCGCUGCCACCCACGGGCAGCAGGGACACACCACUGCGGGGACGCAUGGCACCCCGGUCACCGAUGGUGCCUACGGGCAGCACGGACACACCGGAGCCACCGGCACGGGGAUGCACGGCGCCGACACCGGCGAGAAGAAGGGCGUCGUGGAGAACAUCAAUGACAAGCUCCCUGGUGACCAUGAGGACCAUCAGCAGACUGGUGGCACCAACGGUCAACAGGGACAUACUGUCGCGGCGACGCAUGGCGCCUCAGCUACCGGUGGCACCUAUGGCCAGCAGGGAAACACCGGUAUGGGGACACAUGGCACCCCGGCCACCGAUAGUGCCUCCAGGCAGCACAAACACACUGGGUCCACCGGCACGGGGAUGCACGACACCGACAUCAGCGAGAAGAAGGGCGUCAUGGAGAACAUCAAUGAAAAGCUCCCUGGUGGCCAUGGGGACCACCAGCAGACUGGUGGAACCUACGGGCAGAAGGGACACAUGACCGCGGCGACGCAUGGCGCCUCAGCCACCGGCGCCCCGGCCACUGAUGGUGCCUACGGGCAGCAUGGACACACCAGGGCCACCGGUACAGGGAUGCACGGCGUCGACACGGGCGAGAAGAAGGGCAACAUGGAGAACAUCGAUGACAAACUCCCUGGUGGACAUGGGGACCACCAGCAAACUGCUGGCACCCACGGCCAUCAGGGACACAUCGCUGCGACGACGCAUGGCGCCUCGGCCACCGACGACACGUAUGGGCAACAGGGAAACACCAGCNNNNNNNNNNNNNNNNNNNNNNNNNNNNNNNNNNNNNNNNNNNNNNNNNNNNNNNNNNNNNNNNNNNNNNNNNNNNNNNNNNNNNNNNNNNNNNNNNNNNNNNNNNNNNNNNNNNNNNNNNNNNNNNNNNNNNNNNNNNNNNNNNNNNNNNNNNNNNNNNNNNNNNNNNNNNNNNNNNNNNNNNNNNNNNNNNNNNNNNNNNNNNNNNNNNNNNNNNNNNNNNNNNNNNNNNNNNNNNNNNNNNNNNNNNNNNNNNNNNNNNNNNNNNNNNNNNNNNNNNNNNNNNNNNNNNNNNNNNNNNNNNNNNNNNNNNNNNNNNNNNNNNNNNNNNNNNNNNNNNNNNNNNNNNNNNNNNNNNNNNNNNNNNNNNNNNNNNNNNNNNNNNNNNNNNNNNNNNNNNNNNNNNNNNNNNNNNNNNNNNNNNNNNNNNNNNNNNNNNNNNNNNNNNNNNNNNNNNNNNNNNNNNNNNNNNNNNNNNNNNNNNNNNNAUCAGCGAGAAGAAGGGCGUCAUGGAGAACAUCAAUGAAAAGCUCCCUGGUGGCCAUGGGGACCACCAGCAGACUGGUGGAACCUACGGGCAGAAGGGACACAUGACCGCGGCGACGCAUGGCGCCUCAGCCACCGGCGCCCCGGCCACUGAUGGUGCCUACGGGCAGCAUGGACACACCAGGGCCACCGGCACAGGGAUGCACGGCGUCGACACGGGCGAGAAGAAGGGCAACAUGGAGAACAUCGAUGACAAACUCCCUGGUGGACAUGGGGACCACCAGCAAACUGCUGGCACCCACGGCCAUCAGGGACACAUCGCUGCGACGACGCAUGGCGCCUCGGCCACCGACGACACGUAUGGGCAACAGGGAAACACCAGCACGGGGACACAUGCCGCGCCGGCCACCGAUGGUGCCUAUGGGCAGCAUGGACACACCGGGGCCACCGGCACGGGGAUGGAUGGCGCCGACAUAGGCGAGAAGAAGGGCGUCAUGGAGAACAUCAAUGACAAGCUCUCUGGUGGCCACGGGGACCACCAGCAGACUGGUGGCACCUACGAGCAGCAGGGACACACCGAUGCGGCGACGCAUGGCGCCUCAGCCACCAGCGGCACCUAUGGGCAGCAGGAAAACACCGGUACGGGGACACAUGGUGCCCCUGCCACCGAUGGCGCCUACGGGCAACACAGACACACCGGGGCCAUCGGGACGGGGUUGCAUGGUGCCGACACGGGCGAGAAGAAGGGCGACAUGGAGAACAUCGAUGACAAACUCCCUGAUGGACAUGGGGACCACCAGCAAACUGCUGGCACCUACGGCCAUCAGGGACACACCGCUGCGGCGACGCAUGGCGCCUCGCCCACCGACGACACGUAUGGGCAGCAGGGAAGCACCAGUACGGGGACACAUGCCGCGCCGGCCACCGAUGGUGCCUAUGGGCAGCACGAACACACCGAGGCCACCGGCACGGGGAUGCACGGCGCCGACAUAGGCGAGAAGAAGGGCGUCAUGGAGAACAUCAAUGACAAGCUCUCUGGUGGCCAUGGGGACCACGAGCAAACUGGUGGCACCUACGGGCAGCAGGGACACACCGAUGCGGCGACGCACGGCGCCUCAACCACCAGCGGCACCUAUGGGCAGCACGAAAACACCGGUACGGGGACACAUGGUGCCCCUGCCACCGAUGGCGCCUAUGGGCAGCAUGGACACACCGGGGCCAUCGGGACGGGGUUGCAUGGCGCCAACACGGGCGAGAAGAAGGGCGUCAAGGAGAACAUCAAUGACAAGCUCCCUGAUGGCCGCGGGGACCACCAGCAGACUGGUGGCACCUACGGGCAACAGGAACACAUCGAUGCGGCGACGCAUGGUGCCUUAGCCACUGGCGGCACCAAUGUGCAGCAAGGAAACACCGGUACGGGGACACAUGGCGCCCCGGCCACCGAUGGUGCCUACGGGCAGCACAAACACACCGGAGCCACUGGCACGAGGAUGCAUGACACCGACACCAGCGAGAAGAAGGGCGUCAUGGAGAACAUCAACGACAAGCUGCCUAGUGGAGACGAAGACCACCAGCACACCGGUGGCACUUACGGUCAGCAGGGACAAACCGGCGCGGUGAUGCAUGGCCAGCAGGGACACACCGAAAUGACCGGCUGGGGGACACACGGCAACACUGAGAAAAAGGGCGUCAUGGACGACAUCAAGCCCAAGCUCCCCGGUGGCCACGAUGAUCGCCAGCAGACCGGCGACACCUAUGAACAGCAGCGACACACCGACACUGCAACACAUGGCACCCUUGCCACCGGUGACACCUAUGGGCAGCAGGGACACACCGACACGGGGACAUAUGGCACCGGCGAGAAGAAGGGCGCCAUGGGUAACAUCAAGGAGAAGCUCCCUGGUGGCCAUGGUGACCACCAACAGACUGGUGGCACCUACGGGAGCCAGGAAGACACCGAAAUGACUGGAAUGGGGAUGCAUAGCACCACAGCCACAGACGACACAGAUGGUCAGCAGGGACACACCCGAAUGACCGGCACAGUGGUACACGACACCGACGAGAGGAAGGGUGUCAUGGAGAACUUCAAGGAGAAGCUCCCCGACAGCCAUGACGACCACCAGCAGACUGCUCGCACCGACGGGCACCACGCCGGCACGGGGACGCAUGACACCCCGGCCACCGACGGCACCUAUGGGCAGCACGGACACACUAGAGUGACUGACACAGAGGCGUACAGCACAGGCGGCACAGGCGAGAAGAAGGGCAUCAUGAAGAACACCAAGGAGAAGCUCCCCGGUGGCCACAAUGACCGCCAGCAGACCGGUGACACCUUUGGGCAGCAAGGACACACCGACACGGCGACACAUGGCACCCCGUCCACUGGCGGCACCUACGGGCAGCACGAACACACCGGAGUGACCGAUAAGGGAACACAGGGCACCGGUGGCAUCGACAAGAAGAAGGAUGCCAUGGAGAACAUCAAGGAGAAGCUCCCCGGUGGUCAUGGUGACCACCAGCAGACCGCUGGCACCUACGGGCAGCAUGGACACACUGGAAUGACCGGCACGGAGACGCAUGGAACCACGGCCACCGACGGCGGGCAGCAAGGACACAACGAAACAACUGGCACUGGGACACACGGCACCGACGGGACCGGUGAGAAGAAGAGCUUCAUGGACAAGAUCAAGGAGAAGCUGCCUGGACUGAACUAAGCCCGGUCUGCCUACGGCCGCUACCUUUGCAGAAUAAUACUCCACCGCAUAUAAAUUGAUUGAGUCUAGUUCACCUAGCUCACUUGGUCGUUGGAGAAGCGAAUGUAUCUUGGUUUAAGUUUUCAUGGACAACAUGUGUUCACAGUUUUUUUUUCUUUUUAACAUUGUCGUGCAAAUUUCCUUCUGGUUCAACCCAUGUAUGUAUGCUAUGAUGCCUAUGGCAUCUAAUAUAUCAGUAUAAUAAAGUUACUAAGCUUCCAGAAAUUAGAGCCUCGUGGUUGAACGUGGCAUAUGAG